rnacentral:lncRNA from 1 species
UUUUUUAAUCUCAGGUCACUAUUUCACCUAUGAGAUAUCCAACACAUAUAUAUACAACAAGCAUCCAUAUAACAUACAUAGCCAACACACAAGUUCCAUCAUAUAUACAUACAUAGCCAACACAUAGUUCCAUCGUUACAUAUUACAAAAGUUUCACAUUGUUCAUCCAACACCGUUAUCCAUCAAUUCACAAAAGUUUCACAUUGAUACAAAAUUCAGUUCUCAUGAUUGUUCUCCUUCUCCUUCCUCAGCCUGAUGCGCAAAGAGCGGCGAUGCGGUGGAGGCGGUGGAGGCAGUGGGAUGUAGUCUUCUACAUCAAUUGGCGUGGUCAUGUCGCCCAGCUGUGGGAUCGCCGGCGCCACCACCAGUGCGUGGUCAUUGUCAAGCACCACCACCAUCGCGAGGCCACCUUCAGGCACGACCAUCGCUAGGUCAUCCUCAGCCACCUCCAUCUCUUGCCCAUGGUCAGCCACCACCAUCUCUUGCCCUUGGUCAGCCACCACCAUCUCUUGCCCUUGGUCAGCCACCACCAGCGCUAGGUCAUCCUCAGCCUGAUGCCCAUCAUCAUCCUGCAGCUCCUCAUCCCCACUCUGCUCCUCUUCUCCCGCACUCCAGUCCGGAUCAUCCUUCUUGUUGUCUAUGCUGCUGCCAGAAUCGCUGCUGCUUUCGUUACAGCCAUGGUCGCUGCUGCUUUCGCUACAGCCAUGGUCGCUGCUGCUUUGGCUGUAGUCAUUGUCGCUGCUGCUGCUCUCAUUACCUGUCCAAAUGCAACAAUCACCGUUAACAAUCAAUGUGAGACAAAGCCAAAUGUAGAGGAAUAACAAGAGGCAGAACGUACCGGCAACAUAAUCUUCAGCGUAGCGCAUGCGACACAUAGUCGUGUUGAACACCUUCACGAUGAGCGUGGUGGCGUCGUCGUCGUACCUGAAGAGAAGGAAGUACCCCAGCCGCAGGUCGUAGGCACGGUAGAACUUCUCCCACCCACGAGACAAGUACAUGUGGCCCUCCUUGAUCACCAACUCCACAUCCCACAGCCUGCGAAACCCGCUGCCGGCCUGUCGCACCUUCACAUUAUUUGGCGGAUCUUCACGCAUCAGCAUUUUCUUAAAACUUUCAGGCAGCCUCUGCAGUUUGGGACAAUGAGUGAUGUAGGCAAACAACAGAUAUCAUAAUGAGAUGGGUGAAGCUAGGGGAUAUCUCUCGUUUUAUAUACCUGCGUCAUGGAUGAUACUGAAGUCCCAAGUAUGAUAGUGAAGAACUCGGAAGCAUCCAACUCGUACUGCGGUGUCGCAGAGCGGCGGUGGCUGCUUCCCGCCAUCUCUGAUAAGCAGCAGAAGAGACCAAUUAGUACCCUUACAACAGAUCAUAAAACAUGCAUGAUAACAGGCAUUAGUCGCAAGUACCUCAUAUGUCCGAUUUUUACCAAAGUCAUGCUAAAAUUCAAGGAAAAUUUCAGCAUGACCUUUGCUUAAAAUAGGACAUAUGGAGUACCCGAAUUUGCCGGAACGGAAGUUAAUCGACAUUCCGGCAAACUCAAGAUAGGUGAAAAUAGCAAUCACACAUCUGAGCAGACAUUAGCAAUAUAUGACAGAAAUGUACAUGAUGAUUAACAAGCUUGGGCUUAGCAGUAAUAUUCUGAGAAAAUAUUUGCAAAAUGAUCCCACUAUGUUGACAAAUGAUCCCACUAUGUUGUUAUACUUGAGAACAUUGUAACAAAAUCAAAACCACAAUAAACAGUGGUCAGAUAUAACAGGUACAAUUACACAAAGCAUCUGAAUACACACAUACUUCAUCUAUCAAGUAUAACUCUGUCAAGCCAAGAAGGUAUGAGCUGUUCAUGGAAGCCUUUGAUCAUAAUAUCUAAAGGCAUAGACAAAAUCUACAAGCAGUCAACAAAAAGGUCACACGCACCCACUCAGAGGAACAACGUAUUUAAAUCUAGGAAAUGAAAAUGAUCCAUUUCUACAUGGAAUCAAUCAAGUACCAUCUAAACUGAAACCAUGUUUUUUAUGGGGGAGGGUCCACCACAGUGGCUUGUCAUUGGGGCCCUCAGGUGUCAUUGCAAUAUAGCCCAGGCAGGCGCACCCCAACCAAAACUAAGUUGAAAAUAAAUACGGAUUCAAAUUCUUAUGCCAAAGACUGUUAAACCUACUUGGUCAUCUGCACGCAGUCGUUCUGAAAUUUGGUUCUUGUGACAGUUUGCAUUUUGUUUUUAUAUAUAUGGAUCGCCUCAUUGCUGUGAUUUUCUUGGCCUACUUGGUCAUGUGCAUGCAGGUGUGUUCUGAAAUUUGGUUCUUGUGACAGUUUGCGUAUGGAUCGCCUCAUUGCUAUUGAUUUUCUUGCCCAAGUCUAUUGACACGUUGUUGAUUGCUGGCCUAACUCGUUGCAGCCAGCUAUAAUGGGGAAAAUGAAAACAACACCAUUCUGAACUUGUUGCAGCUAUGACGGAGCAAAGCUAAGGUUAAUAAGAUUGAUACAAAAUCUCUGUUCUGCAGCAUUGCCACCUAAACAGACAAGUGAAGGAAUGCCAAGAGAUGGCGUGGGCGGCUGCGGGCGACGACAGGCACGGUGGGGGCGCAAUGCCGCUGCGGCAGCAGGUCAACAUGGCAGCGAUGAAUUGAGGCAAAGUAAAGGGGGAUCCAGAGGAGAAGCUCACCACGAAGUCGGGGACAUGGUCGGGGAGGCCGGGGACGGACCAGAGCGGGAGGUGGAUGCUGCUCCUCGGUGAGGUGGACGCGCUGCUGCUUCUCCUUGUCGGCGGGGGGUCGGCGGCGGCGGUGGAGAGCGGUCACGGGGAGCGCGGGGAGGCUCGCGCCGCCGUCCGUCCGAGGAGGUCGCGGGCUCAAGGGGGAGUAAGGGGAGAGGGAGGCGGCGGGGGCGCGUGGGCGGCUGCGGCGCAGUGGGUCGGUGUAGCGGCGGCGGCGGCGCGGUGGAGGGAGGGACGAGGGAAGGAGCGGCGCGGUGGAUCGAGGGAGAGGGAACUGGCGAGGGGGACAGGGAAAGGGGGGAUCGGGGCGAAGGGGUAUCCUAUAGCAAUGGCGCACCACCUCGUGGUGCGCCAUUAGUAGUUUUUUUCUUAUAUCAAUGGCGCACCCACCUCUGGUGCGCCAUUAGAUUUACUACAGUUGGAGCACAUGUUAUAUUGCACCUAACCCAAUCCACAUCAGAACCCGCACACUAGCUCAACUGGUCAGCACGCAGCACACACACCAGGAGGUCCUGGGUUCGAUUCCCAGGCUCCGCAAUAUUAAUUUUUUGCAUUUUAAAUGUUGGUUGAUAUUUAUUUGUGUUUAAAUAUGUUUAAACUUGUUUAAAUCAUAACAGUAAUAUUUUUUUAUAAAAACAGUAAUAAUUUUUUAAAAAAUAUGUUCAAAUUUGUUACUUGAAAAUAUCAUCGGCGGCGGCGGUGGAGCGGGGGAGGGUGCGGGGGGUGCGGCGGCAGUGGAGCGGGGGAGGGUUGCGGUGGGUCGUCGGCGGCGGUGGAGCUAGCUAGCGGGGGAGGGUGCGGGUGGGAUCGAGAUCGAGAUGGAGGGGGAUCGAGAUCAAGUGUCCUCAUGAAUUCAAAAAGUGCCCAUGAAAUUUGAAAAGGGUAGGAUAGAAGCUUCUGCUUGAACCAACGCGUGAAACAUGAGUUGUGCUCUUUGAGUAUAUCUCCGUCCGUCCUCUGUUGGCCUCGGUCAUUGUACGUCUUCUCAAUAAAGGUUUUGUGCUCUACCACCCAAGGAUCGACCACGUCUAUGUGUUGUAGCGCGACUAGGUUUGCUCUUUCAAAGUCGGCGAGUCGACCCUCGAAGUCGACAUGCAUUUCGUGGCGACCCUCACGGUGAACCCAUUCAGCGAGCCUGCCGAGGUGCCUGUUGACGGCAGACCAACGGGGUUCUCGAUGCCUAGAUAAUUUGUGUAGUAGGAGAUGCACUCUUCGGUCAGAAAGCCCCUGGCUAUGCUUCCCUCUGGACGUGACACACCAAUCUCUUCCUGUAGCCUUCUGAGUUGCCUCACGCCAAUCGACUUCUAAGAGAUGACGUCGAAAAAGUUGCAUAGGCCAAAUAUCAUUUCACGGACGUGCGCGUCCAUGAUCCCACGGAUUGCAACUGGAAGUAUUUGCGUCAUCAUCACGUGACAGUUGUGAGACUUCAUCCCGCUGAACUUCUGCUUCGCUGGGUCUAGGUAUCUGCUUAUCUUCCCCGCGUAACUGUAAGUAAGUUUUACUACUAGGAGGCAGGUGAAGAACUGCUCGAUCUCCUCCUGACUUAGAGUGAAGCACGCGGGAGGGUAGUCAUUUCUGGUCUUCUUGGCCUUUUUGCCUUUGCGACGACUUUCUGUGUCCUGCUUCGCCUCAUCAUCAUCAUCAUCAUCAUCAUUAGCGUGAAGCUCCUGCCUGAUGCCCAUUGAUUUCAAGUCUGCCCUUGCUUUCGGCCCAUCUUUGGUCCUCUCUGGCAUGUUGAGCAGGGUACCAAGCAGACUCUCGCACACGUUCUUCAUGAUAUGCAUGAUAUCAAGGCUGUGAGGCACACGGUGGAUCUUCCAGUACAACAAGUCCCAGAAAACAGACCUCGUUUUCCAUACCUUCAGCAGCGGCUCUGGCGCCUUUCGCUUCUUUCCUGGCUCUGGCGCCUUUUGCUUCUUUCCCGCCAGUGGGCAGUCUUUCCAAUUUUUCAACAGCUUGUCUAUUUCCUCGCCGCUCCUCAUACACGGGUGUUUUCGGGGUUCGGUUGAGUAGGGGAGGGGUGCGGGGGGUCGGUGGCGGCGGUUGAGUAGGGGAGGGGUGCGGGGGGUCGGUGGCGGCGGUACACCUCCAAACACAAACACAUAGUUAGGAAAAAAAAUAAAAAAAAACAUUAGUGGCGCACGCUGUUAAAAGUGCGCCAUUACUAGUUACAACUACUAAUGGCGCACUGUACAAAGAUGCGCCAUUAGUAUGUUUGGACAGACGCUCCAGUUUAAAAAAAAAGUUUAGGAUUCUAAUGGCGCACCGUAGGCAUGGUGCGCCAUUAGUACUUUCAACACUAAUGGCGUAUCUGAAUGUGGUGCGCCAUUAGUAUGUACUAAUGGCGCACCAGCUGUCAGGUGCGCCAUUAGUGUCAAUCCCAUCUAUAGCCCUUUUUCUAGUAGUGGAUGCACUAGGUAUGACACCUAGAUCGGAUAUGAACUCCUUCAUUCAGACUCCUUCAUUAGCUGCUUCCGAAGCUGCUAUGUACUCCGCUUCACAUGUAGAUCCCGCUACGACGCUUUGUUUAGAACUGCACCAACUGACAGCUCCACCGUUUAAUGUAAAUACGUAUCCGGUUUGUGAUUUUGAAUCGUCCGGAUCAGUGUCAAAGCUUGCAUCAACGUAACCACUUACGAUGAGCUCUUUGUCACCUCCAUAUACGAGAAACAUCUCUUUAGUCCUUUUCAGGUACUUCAGGAUAUUCUUGACCGCUGUCCAGUGAUCCACUCCUGGAUUACUUUGGUACCUCCCCGCUAAACUAAUAGCAAGGCACACAUCAGGUCUGGUACACAGCAUUGCAUACAUGAUAGAGCCUAUGGCUGAAGCAUAGGGAACAUCUUUCAUUUUCUCUCUAUCCUCUGCAGUGGUCGGGCAUUGAGUCUUACUCAACUUCACACCUUGCAACACAGGCAAGAACCCUUUCUUUGCUUGAUCCAUUUUGAACUUCUUCAAAACUUUGUCAAGGUAUGUGCUUUGUGGAAGUCCAAUUAAGCGUCUUGAUCUAUCUCUAUAGAUCUUGAUGCCCAAUAUGUAUGCAGCUUCACCGAGGUCUUUCAUUGAAAAACUCUUAUUCAAGUAUCCCUUUAUGCUAUCCAGAAAUUCUAUAUCAUUUCCGAUCAGCAAUAUGUCAUCUACAUAUAAUAUCAGAAAUGCUACAGAGCUCCCACUCACUUUCUUAUAAAUACAGGCUUCUCCAAAAGUCUGUACAAACCCAAAUGCUUUGAUCACCCUAUCAAAGCGUUUAUUCCAACUCCGAGAUGCUUGCACCAGUCCAUAAAUGGAUCGCUGGAGCUUGCACACUUUGUUAGCUCCCUUUGGAUCGAUAAAACCUUCUGGUUGCAUCAUAUACAACUCUUCUUCCAGAAAUCCAUUCAGGAAUGCAGUUUUUACAUCCAUUUGCCAAAUUUCAUAAUCAUAAAAUGCGGCAAUUGCUAACAUGAUUCGGACAGACUUAAGCAUCGCUACGGGUGAGAAGGUCUCAUCGUAGUCAAUCCCUUGAACUUGUCGGAAAGCCUUUGCGACAAGUCGAGCUUUGUAGACAGUAACAUUACCGUCAGCGUCAGUCUUCUUCUUAAAGAUCCACUUGUUCUCUAUUGCUUGCCGACCCUCGGGCAAGUCAACCAAAGUCCACACUUUGUUUUCAUACAUGGAUCCCAUCUCAGAUUUCAUGGCCUCAAGCCACUUUGCGGAAUCUGGGCUCACCAUCGCUUCUUCAUAGUUCGUAGGUUCAUCAUGAUCUAGUAGCAUGACUUCCAGAACAGGAUUACCGUACCACUCUGGUGUGGAUCUUACUCUGGUUGAUCUACGACGUUCUGUAGUAACUUGAUCUGAAGCUUCAUGAUCAACAUCAUCAACUUCCUCACUAUUUGGUGUAGAUGUCUCAGAAACCGGUUUCUGAGAUAAACUACUUUCCAAUAAGGGAGAAGGUACAGUUACCUCAUCAAGUUCUACUUUCCUCCCACUCACUUCUUUCGAGAGAAACUCCUCUAGAAAGGAUCCAUUUUUAGCAACAAAUGUCUUGCCUUCGGAUCUGUGAUAGAAGGUGUACCCAACUGUCUCCUUUGGGUAUCCUAUGAAGACACACUUCUCCGAUUUGGGUUCGAGCUUAUCAGGUUGAAGCUUUUUCACAUAAGCAUCGCAGCCCCAAACUUUAAGAAACGACAACUUUGGUUUCUUGCUAAACCAUAGUUCAUAAGGUGUCGUCUCAACGGAUUUUGACGGUGUUCUAUUCAAUGUGAAUGCAGCCGUCUCAAGAGCAUAACCCCAAAACGAUAGCGGUAAAUCUGUAAGAGACAUCAUAGAUCGCACCAUAUCUAGUAAAGUGCGAUUACGACGUUCGGACACACCAUUGCGCUGUGGUGUUCCGGGUGGCGUGAGUUGCGAAACUAUUCUGCAUUGUUUCAAAUGUAGACCAAACUCGUAACUCAAAUAUUCUCCUCCACGAUCAGAUCGUAGAAACUUUAUUUUCUUGUUACGAUGAUUUUCAACUUCACUCUGAAAUUCUUUGAACUUUUCAAAUGUUUCAGACUUGUGUUUCAUUAAGUAGAUAUACCCAUAUCUGCUCAAAUCAUCUGUGAAGGUGAGAAAAUAACGAUAUCCGCCACGAGCCUCAACAUUCAUUGGACCACAUACAUCUGUAUGUAUGAUUUCCAACAAAUCUGUUGCUCUCUCCAUAGUACCGGAGAACGGUGUUUUGGUCAUCUUGCCCAUGAGGCACGGUUCGCAAGUGCCAAGUGAUUCAUAAUCAAGUGACUCCAAAAGUCUAUCAGUAUGGAGUUUCUUCAUGCAUUUUAUACCGAUAUGACCUAAACGGCAGUGCCACAAAUAAGUUGCACUUUCAUUAUCAACUCUGCAUCUUUUGGCUUCAACAUUAUGAAUAUGUGUAUCACUACUAUCGAGAUUCAUCAAAAAUAGACCACUCUUCAAGGGUGCAUGACCAUAAAAGAUGUUACUCAUAUAAAUAGAACAACCAUUAUUCUCUGAUUUAAAUGAAUAACCGUCUCGCAUCAAACAAGAUCCAGAUAUAAUGUUCAUGCUCAACGCUGGCACCAAAUAACAAUUAUUUAGGUCUAAAACUAAUCCCGAAGGUAGAUGUAGAGGUAGCGUGCCGACCGCGAUCACAUCGACUUUGGAACCAUUUCCCACGCGCAUCGUAACCUCGUCCUUUGCUAGUGUCCGCUUAAUCCGUAGUCCCUGUUUCGAGUUGCAAAUAUUAGCAACAGAACCAGUAUCAAAUACCCAGGUGCUACUGCGAGCUCUAGUAAGGUACACAUCAAUGUAUAUCAUAUAUACCUUUGUUCACCUUGCCAUCCUUCUUAUCCGCCAAAUACUUGGGGCAGUUCCGCUUCCAGUGACCAGUCUGCUUGCAGUAGAAGCACUCAGUUUCAGGAUUAGGUCCAGACUUGGGCUUCUUCUCCUGAGCAGCAACUUGCUUGCUGUUCUUCUUGAAGUUCCCCUUCUUCUUCCCUUUGCCCUUUUUCUUGAAACUAGUGGUCUUAUUGACCAUCAACACUUGAUGCUCCUUCUUGAUUUCUACCUCCGCAGCCUUUAGCAUUGCGAAGAGCUCGGGCAUAGUCUUUACUAACCCUUGCAUAUUAUAGUUCAUCACGAAGCCUUUGUAGCUUGGUGGCAGUGAUUGAAGAAUUCUGUCAAUGACACAAUCAUCCGGAAGAUUAACUCCCAGCUAACUCAAGUGAUUGUAAUACCCAGACAUUCUGAGUAUGUGCUCACUGACAGACCCAUUCUCCUCCAUUUUGCAGCUAUAGAACUUAUUGGAGACUUCAUAUCUCUCAAUCCGGGCAUUCUGUUGGAAUAUCAACUUCAACUCCUGGAACAUCUCAUAUGCUCCAUGGUUCUCAAACCGAUGUUGAAGUCCCGGUUCUAAGCCGUAAAGCAUGGCACACUGAACUAUCGAGUAGUCAUCAGCUUUGCUCUGCCAGACGUUCAUAACAUCUGGCGUUGCUCCAGCAGCAGGCCUGGCACCUAGUGGUGCAUCCAGGACGUAACUCUUCUGUGCAGCAAUGAGGAUAAUCCUCAAGUUACGGACCCAGUCCGUGUAAUUGCUACCAUCAUCUUUCAACUUUGCUUUCUCAAGGAACGCAUUAAAAUUCAACGGAACAACAGCACGAGCCAUCUAUCUACAAUCAACAUAAACAAGCAAGAUACUAUCAGGGACUAAGUUCAUGAUAAAUUUAAGUUCAAUUAAUCAUAUUACUUAAGAACUCCCACUUAGAUAGACAUCCCUCUAAUCAUCUAAGUGAUCACGUGAUCCAAAUAAAACUAAGCCAUAACCGAUCAUCACGUGAAAUGGAUUAGUUCUCAAUGGUGAACAUCAUCAUGUUGAUCAUAUCUACUAUAUGAUUCACGCUCGACCUUUCGGUCUCCGUGUUCCGAGGCCAUAUCUGCAUAUGCUAGGCUCGUCAAGUAUAACCCGAGUAUUCUGCGUGUGCAAAACUGGCUUGCACCCGUUGUAGAUGGACGUAGAGCUUAUCACACCCGAUCAUCACGUGGUGUCUGGGCACGACGAACUUUGGCAACGGUGCAUACUCGGGGAGAACACUUCUUGAUAAUUUAGUGAGAGAUCAUCUUAUAAUGCUACCGUCAAUCAAAGCAAGAUAAUAUGCAUAAAAAGAUAAACAUCACAUGCAAAUCAAUAUAAGUGAUAUGAUAUGGUCAUCAUCAUCUUGUGCUUCAUGAUCUCCAUCUCUGCAGCACCAUCAUGAUCACCAUCGUCAGCGGCGCGACACCUUGAUCUCCAUCGUAGCAUCGUUGUCGUCUCGCCAAUCUUAUGCUUCUACGACUAUUGCUACCGCUUAGUGAUAAAGUAAAGCAUUACAGGGCGAUUGCAUUGCAUACAAUAAAGCGACAACCAUAUGGCUCCUGCCAGUUGCCGAUAACUCGGUUACAAAACAUGAUCAUCUCAUACAAUAAAAUUUAGCAUCAUGUCUUGACCAUAUCACAUCACAACAUGCCCUGCAAAAACAAGUUAGACGUCCUCUACUUUGUUUGUUGCAAGUUUUACGUGGCUGCUACGAGGUUAAGCAAGAACUCAUCUUACCUACGCAUCAAAACCACAACGAUAGUUUGUCAAAUAGACUCCGUUUUAACCUUCUCAAGGACCGGGCGUAGCCACACUUGGUUCAACUAAAGUUGGUGAGAUGUCUCCCGCAAGCCAUCUGUGUGCAAAGCACGUCGAGGGAACCGGUCUCGCGUAAGCGUACGCGUAAGGUUGGUCCGGGUCAUCUCAUCCAACAAUACCGCUGAACCAAAGUAUGACAUGCUGGUAGGCAGUAUGACUUGUAUCGUCCACAACUCACUUGUGUUCUACUCGUGCAUAUAACAUCAAACCAUAAAAACCUAGGCUCAGAUGCCACUGUUGGGGAACGUAGUAAUUUCAAAAAAAUUCCUACGCACACUCAAGAUCAUGGUGAUGCACAGCAACGAGGGGGAGAUGUUGUCUACAUACCCUUGUAGACCCGAAGCGGAAGCGAUCACAACGUAGAGGAAGUAGUCGUACGUUCUCCUCGCGAUCCGACCGAUCCCGGCGCCGUUACUCCGGCGCCCCCGAGUUCUUGGCACACGUACAGCUCGAUGACACUCCUCGGGCUUCGAUCCAGCAAAGCUCCGGAGAGAGAGUUUCGUCAGCACGACGGCGUGGUGACGAUCUUGAUGUUCUACUAUCGCAGGGCUUCGCCUAAGCACUGCAACGGUACGAUCGAGGUGGAAUAUGGCGGAGGGGGGCACCGCACACGGCUAAGGAACGAUCUCAAGGAUCAACUUGUGUGUCUUGGGGUGCCCCCUGCCCCUGUAUAUAAAGGAGCAAGGGGAGGGGGCCGGCCGGCCACAAGGGGCGCGCCUAGGGAGUCCUACUCCCACCGGGAGGAGGAUUCCCCCCCCCCAAUCCUAGUCCAACUAGGUUUCCAGAGGUGGAAAGAGAGAGAGAGAGAGGGGCGCCGCCCCUUCUCCUAGUCCUACUAGGACUAGGGAAGGGGGGAAGUGGCGCGCGGCCCCUUUGACCUGCCCUUCCUCCUUUUCCACUAAGGCCCAUGAGGCCCAUUAUGCUCCCGGGGGGUUCCGGUAACCUCCCGGUACUCCGGUAAAUUCCCGUUUUCACUCGGAACCAUUCCGAUGUCCAAACAUAGGCUUCCAAUAUAUCAAUCUUUACGUCUCGACCAUUUCGAGACUCCUCGUCAUGUCCGUGAUCACAUCCGGGACUCCGAACUCCUUCGGUACAUCAAAAUACACAAACUCAUAAUAACCGUCAUCGAAACCUUAAGCGUGCGGACCCUACGGUUCGAGAACAAUGUAGACAUGACCGAGACACGUCUCCGGUCAAUAACCAACAGCGCGACCUGGAUGCCCAUAUUGGCUCCUACAUAUUCUACGAAGAUCUUUAUCGGUCAGACCGCAUAACAACAUACGUUAGUUCCCUUUGUCAUCGGUAUGUUACUUACCCGAGAUUCGAUCGUCGGUAUCCAAUACCUAGUUCAAUCUCGUUACCGGUAAGUCUCUUUACUCGUUCCGUAAUACAUCAUCUCACAACUAACUCAUUAGUUGUAAUGCUUGCAAGGCUUAUGUGAUGUGCAUUACCGAGAGGGCCCAGAGAUACCUCUCCGACUAUCGGAGUGACAAAUCCUAAUCUCGAAAUACGCCAACCCAACAUCUACCUUUGGAGACACCUGUAGUACUCCUUUAUAAUCACCCAGUUACGUUGUGACGUUUGGUAGCACCCAAAGUGUUCCUCCGGUAAACGGGAGUUGCAUAAUCUCAUAGUCAUAGGAACAUGUAUAAGUUAUGGAUGAAAGCAAUAGCAACACACUAAACGAUCAGGUGCUAAGCUAAUGGAAAUGGGUCAUGUCAAUCAGAUCAUUCAACCAAUGAUGUGACCUCGUUAAUCAAAUGACAACUCCUUUGUCUAUGGUUAGGAAACUUAACCAUCUUUGAUUAAUGAGCUAGUCAAGUAGAGGCAUACUAGUGACACUCUGUUUGUCUAUGUAUUCACACAUGUAUUAUGUUUCCGGUUAAUACAAUUCUAGCAGGAAUAAUAAACAUUUAUCAUGAAAUAAGGAAAUAAAUAAUAACUUUAUUAUUGCCUCUAGGGCAUAUUUCCUUCAACAACUAUCGUGAUCAUUUCGGUGAUACUUUCAUGGAGGAUGAUGCUGAAGGUGGGGAAGGGUUAGGUGAAGGUGAAGAAGAGGCACAUGAUGAGCCCGCUGAUGAUCUUGGUCGGACCAUUGCUGAUGCACGGAGACGCUGCGAAACUGACAAGGAGAGGGAGAAUUUGGAUCGCAUGUUAGAGGAUCACAAAAAGUCGUUGUAUCCAGGAUGCGAUAAUAGUCUGAAAAAGCUGGGCUGCACACUGGAUUUGCUAAAAUGGAAGGGACAGGAAGGUGUAGGUGACUCAUCAUUUGAAAAUUUGCUGAAAAUCUUGAAGAAUAUGUUGCCGAAGAAUAACGAGUUGCCCGCCAGUACGUACGAAGCAAAGAAGGUUGUCUGCCCUCUAGGUUUAGAGGUUCAGAAGAUACAUGCAUGCAUUAAUGACUGCAUCCUCUACCGCGGUGAAUACGAGAAUUUGAAUGAAUGCCCUGUAUGCACUGCAUUGCGUUAUAAGAUCAGAGGCGAUGACCCUGGUGACGAUGUUGAGGGCGAGAAACCCAGGAAGAGGGUUCCCGCCAAGGUGAUGAGGUAUGCUCCUAUAAUACCACGGUUGAAACGUCUGUUCGGUUGAAACGUCUGUUCAUGAACAAAAAGCAUGCCAAGUUGUUGCGAUGGCACAAAGAGGACCGUAAGUCCGACGGGCAGUCGAGACACACCGCUGAUGGAACGCAAUGGAGAAAGAUCGACAGAGUUUUCAAAGAUUUUGCAGCUGACGCAAGGAACUUAAGAUUUGGUCUAAAUACUGAUGGCAUUAAUCCUUUUGGCGAGCAGAGCUCCAGCCAUAGCACCUGGCCCGUGACUCUAUGCAUCUACAACCUUCCUCCUUGGUUGUGCAUGAAGCGGAAGUUCAUUAUGAUGCCAAUUCUCAUCCAAGGCCCUAAGCAACCCGGUAACGACAUCGAUGUGUACCUAAGGCCAUUAGUUGAAGAACUUUUACAGUUGUGGGCGAAACCUGGUGUACGUGUCUGGGAUGAGCACAAAGGAGAGGAAUUUGACCUACGAGCGUUGCUUUUUGUAACCAUCAACGAUUGGCCUGCUCUCAGUAACCUUUCGGGACAGACAAAUAAGGGAUACAGAUAUAAUGUUCAUGCUCAACGCUGGCACCAAAUAACAAUUAUUUAGGUCUAAAACUAAUCCCGAAGGUAGAUGUAGAGGUAGCGUGCCGACCGCGAUCACAUCGACUUUGGAACCAUUUCCCACGCGCAUCGUCACCUCGUCCUUUCCUAGUGUCCGCUUAAUCCGUAGUCCCUGUUUCGAGUUGCAAAUAUUAGCAACAGAACCAGUAUCAAAUACCCAGGUGCUACUGCGAGCUCUAGUAAGGUACACAUCAAUGUAUAUCAUAUAUACCUUUGUUCACCUUGCCAUCCUUCUUAUCCGCCAAAUACUUGGGGCAGUUCCGCUUCCAGUGACCAGUCUGCUUGCAGUAGAAGCACUCAGUUUCAGGCUUAGGUCCAGACUUGGGCUUCUUCUCCUGAGCAGCAACUUGCUUGCUGUUCUUCUUGAAGUUCCCCUUCUUCUUCCCUUUGCCCUUUUUCUUGAAACUAGUGGUCUUAUUGACCAUCAACACUUGAUGCUCCUUCUUGAUUUCUACCUCCGCAGCCUUUAGCAUUGCGAAGAGCUCGGGCAUAGUCUUUACUAACCCUUGCAUAUUAUAGUUCAUCACGAAGCCUUUGUAGCUUGGUGGCAGUGAUUGAAGAAUUCUGUCAAUGACACAAUCAUCCGGAAGAUUAACUCCCAGCUAACUCAAGUGAUUGUAAUACCCAGACAUUCUGAGUAUGUGCUCACUGACAGACCCAUUCUCCUCCAUUUUGCAGCUAUAGAACUUAUUGGAGACUUCAUAUCUCUCAAUCCGGGCAUUCUGUUGGAAUAUCAACUUCAACUCCUGGAACAUCUCAUAUGCUCCAUGGUUCUCAAACCGACGUUGAAGUCCCGGUUCUAAGCCGUAAAGCAUGGCACACUGAACUAUCGAGUAGUCAUCAGCUUUGCUCUCCCAGACGUUCAUAACAUCUGGCGUUGCUCCAGCAGCAGGCCUGGCACCUAGCGGUGCAUCCAGGACGUAACUCUUCUGUGCAGCAAUGAGGAUAAUCCUCAAGUUACGGACCCAGUCCGUGUAAUUGCUACCAUCAUCUUUCAACUUUGCUUUCUCAAGGAACGCAUUAAAAUUCAACGGAACAACAGCACGAGCCAUCUAUCUACAAUCAACAUAAACAAGCAAGAUACUAUCAGGGACUAAGUUCAUGAUAAAUUUAAGUUCAAUUAAUCAUAUUACUUAAGAACUCCCACUUAGAUAGACAUCCCUCUAAUCAUCUAAGUGAUCACGUGAUCCAAAUAAAACUAAGCCAUAACCGAUCAUCACGUGAAAUGGAUUAGUUCUCAAUGGUGAACAUCAUCAUGUUGAUCAUAUCUACUAUAUGAUUCACGCUCGACCUUUCGGUCUCCGUGUUCCGAGGCCAUAUCUGCAUAUGCUAGGUUCGUCAUGUAUAACCCGAGUAUUCUGCGUGUGCAAAACUGGCUUGCACCCGUUGUAGAUGGACGUAGAGCUUAUCACACCCGAUCAUCACGUGGUGUCUGGGCACGACGAACUUUGGCAACGGUGCAUACUCGGGGAGAACACUUCUUGAUAAUUUAGUGAGAGAUCAUCUUAUAAUGCUACCGUCAAUAAAAGCAAGAUAAUAUGCAUAAAAAGAUAAACAUCACAUGCAAAUCAAUAUAAGUGAUAUGAUAUGGUCAUCAUCAUCUUGUGCUUCAUGAUCUCCAUCUCUGCAGCACCAUCAUGAUCACCAUCGUCACCGGCGGGACACCUUGAUCUCCAUCGUAGCAUCGUUGUCGUCUCGCCAAUCUUAUGCUUCUACGACUAUCGCUACCGCUUAGUGAUAAAGUAAAGCAUUACAGGGCGAUUGCAUUGCAUACAAUAAAGCGACAACCAUAUGGCUCCUGCCAGUUGCCGAUAACUCGGUUACAAAACAUGAUCAUCUCAUACAAUAAAAUUUAGCAUCAUGUCUUGACCAUAUCACAUCACAACAUGCCCUGCAAAAACAAGUUAGACGUCCUCUACUUUGUUUGUUGCAAGUUUUACGUGGCUGCUACGAGCUUAAGCAAGAACUCAUCUUACCUACGCAUCAAAACCACAACGAUAGUUUGUCAAAUAGACUCCAUUUUAACCUUCUCAAGGACCGGGCGUAGCCACACUUGGUUCAACUAAAGUUGGUGAGAUGUCUCCCGCAAGCCAUCUGUGUGCAAAGCACGUCGAGGGAACCGGUCUCGCGUAAGCGUACGCGUAAGGUUGGUCCGGGUCAUCUCAUCCAACAAUACCGCUGAACCAAAGUAUGACAUGCUGGUAGGCAGUAUGACUUGUAUCGUCCACAACUCACUUGUGUUCUACUCGUGCAUAUAACAUCAAACCAUAAAAACCUAGGCUCGGAUGCCACUGUUGGGGAACGUAGUAAUUUCAAAAAAAUUCCUACGCACACUCAAGAUCAUGGUGAUGCACAGCAACGAGGGGGAGAUGUUGUCUACAUACCCUUGUAGACCCGAAGCGGAAGCGAUCACAACGUAGAGGAAGUAGUCGUACGUUCUCCUCGCGAUCCGACCGAUCCCGGCGCCGUUACUCCGGCGCCCCCGAGUUCUUGGCACACGUACAGCUCGAUGACACUCCUCGGGCUUCGAUCCAGCAAAGCUCCGGAGAGAGAGUUUCGUCAGCACGACGGCGUGGUGACGAUCUUGAUGUUCUACUAUCGCAGGGCUUCGCCUAAGCACUGCAACGGUACGAUCGAGGUGGAAUAUGGUGGAGGGGGGCACCGCACACGGCUAAGGAACGAUCUCAAGGAUCAACUUGUGUGUCCUGGGGUGCCCCCUGCCCCUGUAUAUAAAGGAGCAAGGGGAGGGGGCCGGCCGGCCACAAGGGGCGCGCCUAGGGAGUCCUACUCCCACCGGGAGGAGGAUUCCCCCCCCCCCCAAUCCUAGUCCAACUAGGUUUCCAGAGGUGGAAAGAGAGAGAGAGAGGGGCGCCGCCCCUUCUCCUAGUCCUACUAGGACUAGGGAAGGGGGGAAGUGGCGCGCGGCCCCUUUGGCCUGCCCUUCCUCCUUUAUCACUAAGGCCCAUGAGGCCCAUUAUGCUCCCGGGGGGUUCCGGUAACCUCCCGGUACUCCGGUAAAUUCCCGUUUUCACUCGGAACCAUUCCGAUGUCCAAACAUAGGCUUCCAAUAUAUCAAUCUUUACGUCUCGACCAUUUCGAGACUCCUCGUCAUGUCCGUGAUCACAUCCGGGACUCCGAACUCCUUCGGUACAUCAAAAUACACAAACUCAUAAUAACCGUCAUCGAAACCUUAAGCGUGCGGACCCUACGGUUCGAGAACAAUGUAGACAUGACCGAGACACGUCUCUGGUCAAUAACCAACAGCGCGACCUGGAUGCCCAUAUUGGCUCCUACAUAUUCUACGAAGAUCUUUAUCGGUCAGACCGCAUAACAACAUACGUUAGUUCCCUUUGUCAUCGGUAUGUUACUUACCCGAGAUUCGAUCGUCGGUAUCCAAUACCUAGUUCAAUCUCGUUACCGGUAAGUCUCUUUACUCGUUCCGUAAUACAUCAUCUCACAACUAACUCAUUAGUUGUAAUGCUUGCAAGGCUUAUGUGAUGUGCAUUACCGAGAGGGCCCAGAGAUACCUCUCCGACUAUCGGAGUGACAAAUCCUAAUCUCGAAAUACGCCAACCCAACAUCUACCUUUGGAGUGUUGGGAACGUUGCAGAAAAUAAAAUUUUUCCUACGGUUUCACCAAGAUCCAUCUAUGAGUUCAUCUAAGCAACGAGUCAUGGGAGAGAGAUUGCAUCUACAUACCACUUGCAGAUUGCGUGCGGAAGCGUUCAAGGGGAUGGUGAUGACGUAGUCGUACUCGUCGUGAUUCGAAUCACCGAUGACCAAGUGCUGAACGGACAGCACCUCCGCGUUCAACACACGUACGGGACGAGCGACGUCUCCUCCUUCUUGAUCCAGCAAGGGGAAGGAGAGGUUGAGGAAGAAGACUCCAACGGCAGCACGACGGCGUGGUGCAGUUGGUGCAGCAGUACUCCGACAGGGCUUCGCCAAGCACGUACGGAGGAGGAGAGGUGUUGGGGAGGGGAGGGGCUGCGCCUUGACUUGUGUAUGCAGCCCUCCCCUCGCCCCUCUAUUUAUAGGGGAAGGGCAAGGGGGGCCGGCCCCCUCCAGAUGGGAUCCAGAGGGGGGGCGGCGGCCAAGGGGGAGGGGGCUUGCCCCCCAAGCAAGGGGGGCGCCCCCUUUAGGGUUCCCCAAACCCUAGGGCGCAUGGGCCCUUGGGGGGGAGGCGCACCAGCCCACUUUGGGCUGGUUCCCUCCCCUUUGCAGCCCAUGAGCCUCUCCGGGAGAGGUGGCCCCUCCCGGUGGACCCCCGAGGCCCCUCCGGUGGCCCCGGUAUAAUACCGAUAUGCCCUCGAACUAUUCCGGUGUCCGUAUGACAACUUCCCAUAUAUAAAUCUUUACCUCCGGACCAUUCCGGAACUCCUCGUGACGUCCGGGAUCUCAUCCGGGACUCCGAACAACAUUCGGUAAUCACAUACAAGUCUUCCUAAUAACCCUAGCGUCACCGAACCUUAAGUGUGUAGACCCUACGGGUUCGGGAGACAUGCAGACAUGACCGAGACGACUCUCGGGCAAUAACCAACAGCGGGAUCUGGAUACCCAUGUUGGCUCCCACAUGUUCCUCGAUGAUGUCAUCGGAUGAACCACGAUGUCGAGGGUUCAAGCAACCCCGUAAACUAUUCCCUUUGUCAAUCGGUAGGUUACUUGCCCGAGACUCGAUCGUCGGUAUCCCAAUACCUCGUUUAGUCUCGUUACCGGCAAGUCACUUUACUCGUACCGUAAUGCAUGAUCCUGUGACCAAACACUUGGUCACUUUGAGCUCAUUAUGAUGAUGCAUUACCGAGUGGGCCCGGUGAUACCUCUCCGUCAUACGGAGUGACAAAUCCCAGUCUCGAUCCGUGUCAACCCAACAGACACUUUCAGAGAUACCUGUAGUGCACCUUUAUAGUCACCCAGUUACGUUGUGACGUUUGGUACACCCAAAGCAUUCCUACGGUAUCCGGGAGUUACACGAUCUCAUGUUCUAAGGAAAAGAUACUCGACAUUGGAAAGCUCUAGCAAAACGAACUACACGAUCUUGUGCUAUGCUUAGUAUUGGGUCUUGUCCAUCACAUCAUUCUCCUAAUGAUGUGAUCUCGUUAUCAAUUACAUCCCUAUGUCCAUAGCCAGGAAAUCAUGACUAUCUGUUGAUCAACGAGCUAGUCAACUAGAGGCUUACUAGGGACACAUAUUGUCGUCUAUGCAUUCACACAUGUAUUAUGAUUUCCGAACAAUACAAUUAUAGCAUGAACAAUAGACAAUUAUCAUGAACAAGGAAAUAUAAUAAUCCAUUUAUUAUUGCCUCUAGGGCAUAUUUCCAACAGUCUCCCACUUGCACUAGAGACAAUAGUCUAGUUACAUUGUGAUGAAUCGAACACCCAUAGAGUUCUGGUGCUGAUCAUGUUUUGCCCUAGGGAGAGGUUUAGUCAAUGGAUCUGCGACAUUCAGAUCCGUGUGUACUUUACAAAUUUCUAUGUCUCCAUCUUGAACAUUUUCACGGAUGGAGUUGAAGCGACGCUUGAUGUGCCUGGUCUUCUUGUGAAACCUGGGCUCCUUGGCAAGUGCAAUAGCUCCAGUGUUGUCACAGAAGAGUUUGAUCGGCCCCGACGCAUUGGGUAUGACUCCUAGGUCGGUGAUGAACUCCUUCACCCAUAUUGCCUCAUGCGCUGCCUCCGAGGCUGCCAUGUAUUCCGCUUCACAUGUAGAUCCCGCCACGACGCUCUGCUUGCAGCUGCACCAGCUCACUGCUCCACUAUUCAACAUAUACACGUAUCCGGUUUGUGACUUAGAGUCAUCCAGAUCUGUGUCGAAGCUAGCAUCGACGUAACCCUUUACGACGAGCUCUUCGUCACCUCCAUAAACGAGAAACAUGUCCUUAGUCCUUUUCAGGUACUUAAGAAUAUUCUUGACCGCUGUCCAGUGUUCCUUGCCGGGAUUACUUUGGUACCUACCUACCAAACUUACGGCAAGGUUUACAUCAGGUCUGGUACACAGCAUGGCAUACAUAAUGGAUCCUAUGGCUGAAGCAUAGGGGAUGACACUCAUCUCUUGUUUAUCCUUUGCCGUGGUCGGGCAUUGAGCCGAGCUCAAUUUCACACCUUGCAAUACAGGCAAGAACCCUUUCUUGGACUGAUCCAUUUUGAACUUCUUCAAAAUCUUAUCAAGGUACGUGCUUUGCGAAAGACCUAUGAGGCGUCUUGAUCUAUCUCUAUAGAUCUUGAUGCCUAAUGUGUAAGCAGCUUCUCCAAGGUCCUUCAUUGAAAAACACUUGUUCAAAUAGGCCUUUAUGCUUUCCAAGAAUUCUAUAUCAUUUCCCAUCAAUAGUAUGUCAUCCACAUAUAAUAUGAGAAAUGCUACGGAGCUCCCACUCACUUUCUUGUAAACGCAGGCUUCUCCAUAAGUCUGCAUAAACCCAAACGCUUUGAUCAUCUCAUCAAAGCGAAUGUUCCAACUCCGAGAUGCUUGCACCAGCCCAUAAAUGGAUCGCUGGAGCUUGCACACCUUGUUAGCAUUCUUAGGAUCGACAAAACCUUCCGGCUGCAUCAUAUACAGUUCUUCCUUAAGAUAGCCGUUAAGGAAUGCCGUUUUGACGUCCAUUUGCCAUAUCUCAUAAUCAUAGUAUGCGGCAAUUGCUAACAUGAUUCGGACGGACUUCAGCUUCGCUACGGGAGAGAAAGUCUCGUCGUAGUCAAUCCCUUGAACUUGCCGAUAACCCUUAGCGACAAGUUGAGCUUUAUAGAUGGUAACAUUUCCAUCCGCGUCCGUCUUCUUCUUGAAGAUCCAUUUAUUUUCUAUCGCUCGCCGAUCAUCGGGCAAGUCUGUCAAAGUCCAUACUUUGUUUUCAUACAUGGAUCCUAUCUCGGAUUUCAUGGCUUCUAACCAUUUGUUGGAAUCCGGGCCCGCCAUCGCUUCUUCAUAGUUCGAAGGUUCCCCGUUGUCCAACAACAUGAUUUCCAGGACAGGGUUGCCGUACCACUCUGGUGCGGAACGUGUCCUUGUGGACCUACGAAGUUCAGUGGGAGCUUGGUCCGAAGUAUCUUGAUCAUCAUCAUUAACCUCCUCUCUAACUGGAGUAGGCAACACAGGAACAUUUUCUUGCGCUGCGCUAUUCUCUGUUUCAAGAGGCAGUACUUCAUCAAGCUCCACUUUCCUCCCACUUACUUCUUUCGAGAGAAACUCUUUCUCCAGAAAGGUUCCGUUCUUGGCAACAAAGAUCUUGCCCUCGGAUCUUAAGUAGAAGGUAUACCCUAUGGUUUCCUUAGGGUAUCCUAUGAAGACGCACUUUUCCGAUUUGGGUUCGAGCUUUUCAGGUUGUAGUUUCUUGACAUAAGCCUCGCAUCCCCAAACUUUUAGAAACGACAGCUUAGGUUUCUUUCCAAACCAUAAUUCAUACGGUGUCGUCUCAACGGAUUUAGACGGUGCCCUAUUUAAAGUGAAUGUAGCUGUCUCUAGAGCGUAUCCCCAAAAUGAUAGCGGUAAAUCGGUAAGAGACAUCAUUGAUCGCACCAUAUCCAAUAAAGUGCGAUUACGAUGUUCGGACACACCAUUACGCUGAGGUGUUCCAGGCGGCGUUAGUUGUGAAACUAUUCCACAUUUUCUUAAGUGUGCGCCAAAUUCGUGACUCAAGUAUUCUCCUCCACGAUCUGAUCGUAGAAACUUGAUUCUUCUGUCACGUUGAUUUUCAACCUCACUCUGAAACUCCUUGAACUUUUCAAAGGUCUCAGACUUGUGUUUCAUUAAGUAGACAUAGCCAUAUCUACUCAAAUCAUCAGUGAGUGUGAGAACAUAACGAUAUCCUCCGCGAGCCUCAACGCUCAUUGGACCGCACACAUCAGUAUGUAUAAUUUCCAAUAAGUUGGUUGCUCGCUCCAUUGUCCCGGAGAACGGAGUCUUGGUCAUUUUGCCCAUGAGGCAUGGUUCGCAUGUGUCAAACGAUUCAUAAUCGAGAGACUCUAAAAGUCCAUCAGCAUGGAGCUUCUUCAAGCGCUUGACACCAAUGUGACCAAGGCGGCAGUGCCACAAGUAUGUGGGACUAUCGUUAUUAACUUUGCAUCUUUUGGUAUUCACACUAUGAAUAUGUGUAACAUCACGUACGAGAUUCAUUAAGAAUAAACCAUUAACCAUCGGAGCAUGACCAUAAAACAUAUCACUCAUAUAAAUAGAACAACCAUUAUUCUCGGAUUUAAAUGAGUAGCCAUCUCGUAUUAAACGAGAUCCAGAUACAAUGUUCAUGCUCAAACUUGGCACCAAAUAACAAUUAUUGAGGUUUAAAACUAAUCCCGUAGGUAAAUGUAGAGGUAGCGUGCCGACGGCGAUCACAUCGACCUUGGAACCAUUCCCGACGCGCAUCGUCACCUCGUCCUUCGCCAGUCUCCGUUUAUUCCGCAGCUCCUGUUUUGAGUUACAAAUAUGAGCAACGGCACCGGUAUCAAAUACCCAGGAGCUACUACGAGCACUGGUAAGGUACACAUCAAUAACAUUUAUAUCACAUAUACCUUUAGUGUUGCCGGCCUUCUUAUCCGCUAAGUACUUGGGGCAAUUCCGCUUCCAGUGACCACUUCCCUUGCAAUAAAAACACUCAGUUUCAGGUUUGGGUCCAUUCUUUGACUUCUUCCUGGCAACUGAUUUACCAGGUGCGGCAACCUCCUUGCCGUCCUUCUUGAAGUUCUUCUUACCCUUGCCUUUCUUGAACUUAGUGGUUUUAUUCACCAACAACACUUGAUGUUCCUUUUUGAUCUCCCCUUCUGCAGAUUUCAGCAUUGAAUACAACUCGGGAAUGGUCUUCACCAUCCCCUGCAUGUUGUAAUUCAUCACGAAGCUCUUGUAGCUAGGUGGGAGCGACUGAAGGAUUCUGUCAAUGACCGCCUCAUCUGGGAGAUUAACUUCCAGCUGAGUCAAGCGGUUGUGCAACCCAGACAUCUUGAGAAUGUGUUCACUGACAGAACUAUUUUCCUCCAUCUUGCAGCUAAAGAACUUGUCGGAGACUUCAUAUCUCUCGAACCGGGCAUGAGCUUGGAAAAUCAAUUUCAGCUCCUCGAACAUCUCAUAUGCUCCGUGCUUCUCAAAACGCUUUUGGAGCCCCGGUUCUAAGCUGUAAAGCAUGCCGCACUGAACGAGGGAGUAAUCAUCAGCGCGAGACUGCCAAGCAUUCAUAAUGUCUUGGCUCUCUGGGAUGGGUGCUCUGCCAAGCGGUGCUUCUAGGACAUAAUCUUUCUUGGCUGCUAUGAGGAUGAUCCUCAGGUUCCGGACCCAGUCCGAAUAGUUGCUGCCAUCAUCUUUCAGCUUAGUUUUCUCUAGGAACGCGUUGAAGUUGAGGUUGACAUUACCGUGGGCCAUUUGAUCUACAAGACAUGUUGUAAAGAUUUAGACUAAGUUCAUGAUAAUUAAGUUCAUCUAAUCAAAUUAAUGAAUGAACUCCCACUCAGAUUUGACAUCCCUCCAGUCAUCUAAGUGAUACAUGAUCCGAGUCAACUAGGCCGUGUCCGAUCAUCACGUGAGACGGACUAGUCAUCAUCGGUGAACAUCUCCAUGUUGAUCGUAUCUUCUAUACGACUCAUGUUCGACCUUUCGGUCCUCCGUGUUCCGAGGCCAUGUCUGUACAUGCUAGGCUCGUCAAUCCAACCUAAGUGUAUUGCGUGUGUAAAUCUGGCUUACACCCGUUGUAUGCGAACGUAAGGACCUAUCACACCCGAUCAUCACGUGGUGCUUCGGAACGACGAACCUUAGCAACGGUGCACAGUUCGGGAGAACACAAUUUUGAUAUUUUAAUGAGGGAUCAUCUUAUUUACUACCGUCGUUCUAAGCAAACAAGAUGCACAAAUAUAAUAAAACAUCACAUGCAAUUAUAUAGUAGUGACAUGAUAUGGCCAUCAUCACAUAGCUCCUUUGAUCUCCAUCUUGGGGCUCCAUGAUCAUCUUGUCACCGGCACGACACCAUGAUCUCCAUCAUCAUGAUCUCCAUCAUUGUAUCUCCAUGGAGUUGUUCGCCAACUAUUACUACUACUACUAUGGCUAACACGUUAGCAAUAAAGUAAAGUAAUUUACAUGGCGACACGCAGGUCAUAAAAGAAUAAUGACAACUCCUAUGGCUCCUGCCGGUUGUCAUACUCAUCGACAUGCAAGUCGUGAUUCCUAUUACAAUAACAAGAUCAUCUCAUACAUCACAUGAUUCAUCACAACUUCUGGCCAUAUCACAUCACAAAGCACUUGCUGCAAAAACAAGUUAGACGUCCUCUAAUUGUUGUUGCAUGUUUUUACGUGGCUGUUAUAGGUUGCUAGCAAGAACGUUUCUUACCUACGUUAAAACCACAACGUGAAUUAUCAAUCUCUAUUUACCCUUCAUAAGGACCCUGUUCAUCGAAUCCGGUCCAACUAAAGUGGGAGAGACAGACACCCGCCAGCCACCUUAUGCAACUAGUGCACGUCAGUCGGUGGAACCGGUCUCACGUAAGCGUACGUGUAAGGUUGGUCCGGGCCGCUUCAUCCCACAAUACCGCUGAACCAAGAUAAGACUAGUAACGGCAAGAAGAAUUGACAAUUCGACGCCCACAACUACUUUGCGUUCUACUCGUGCAAUAGAGAACUACGCAUAGACCUAGCUCAUGAUGCCACUGUUGGGAACGUUGCAGAAAAUAAAAUUUUUCCUACGGUUUCACCAAGAUCCAUCUAUGAGUUCAUCUAAGCAACGAGUCAUGGGAGAGAGAUUGCAUCUACAUACCACUUGCAGAUUGCGUGCGGAAGCGUUCAAGGGGAUGGUGAUGACGUAGUCGUACUCGUCGUGAUUCGAAUCACCGAUGACCAAGUGCUGAACGGACAGCACCUCCGCGUUCAACACACGUACGGGACGAGCGACAUCUCCUCCUUCUUGAUCCAGCAAGGGGAAGGAGAGGUUGAGGAAGAAGACUCCAACGGCAGCACGACGGCGUGGUGCAGUUGGUGCAGCAGUACUCCGACAGGGCUUCGCCAAGCACGUACGGAGGAGGAGAGGUGUUGGGGAGGGGAGGGGCUGCGCCUUGACUUGUGUAUGCAGCCCUCCCCUCGCCCCUCUAUUUAUAGGGGAAGGGCAAGGGGGGCCGGCCCCCUCCAGAUGGGAUCCAGAGGGGGGGCGGUGGCCAAGGGGGAGGGGGCUUGCCCCCCAAGCAAGGGGGGCGCCCCCUUUAGGGUUCCCCAAACCCUAGGGCGCAUGGGCCCUUGGGGGGGGGGGAGGCGCACCAGCCCACUUUGGGCUGGUUCCCUCCCCUUUGCAGCCCAUGAGCCCCUCCGGGAGAGGUGGCCCCUCCCGGUGGACCCCCGAGGCCCCUCCGGUGGCCCCGGUAUAAUACCGAUAUGCCCUCGAACUAUUCCGGUGUCCGUAUGACAACUUCCCAUAUAUAAAUCUUUACCUCCGGACCAUUCCGGAACUCCUCGUGACGUCCGGGAUCUCAUCCGGGACUCCGAACAACAUUCGGUAAUCACAUACAAGUCUUCCUUAUAACCCUAGCGUCACCGAACCUUAAGUGUGUAGACCCUACGGGUUCGGGAGACAUGCAGACAUGACCGAGACGACUCUCGGGCAAUAACCAACAGCGGGAUCUGGAUACCCAUGUUGGCUCCCACAUGUUCCUCGAUGAUGUCAUCGGAUGAACCACGAUGUCGAGGGUUCAAGCAACCUCGUAAACUAUUCCCUUUGUCAAUCGGUAGGUUACUUGCCCGAGACUCGAUCGUCGGUAUCCCAAUACCUCGUUUAGUCUCGUUACCGGCAAGUCACUUUACUCGUACCGUAAUGCAUGAUCCCGUGACCAAACACUUGGUCACUUUGAGCUCAUUAUGAUGAUGCAUUACCGAGUGGGCCCGGUGAUACCUCUCCGUCAUACGGAGUGACAAAUCCCAGUCUCGAUCCGUGUCAACCCAACAGACACUUUCAGAGAUACCUGUAGUGCACCUUUAUAGUCACCCAGUUACGUUGUGACGUUUGGUACACCCAAAGCAUUCCUACGGUAUCCGGGAGUUACACGAUCUCAUGGUCUAAGGAAAAGAUACUCGACAUUGGAAAGCUCUAGCAAAACGAACUACACGAUCUUGUGCUAUGCUUAGUAUUGGGUCUUGUCCAUCACAUCAUUCUCCUAAUGAUGUGAUCUCGUUAUCAAUUACAUCCCUAUGUCCAUAGCCAGGAAAUCAUGACUAUCUGUUGAUCAACGAGCUAGUCAACUAGAGGCUUACUAGGGACACAUAUUGUCGUCUAUGCAUUCACACAUGUAUUAUGAUUUCCGAACAAUACAAUUAUAGCAUGAACAAUAGACAAUUAUCAUGAACAAGGAAAUAUAAUAAUCCAUUUAUUAUUGCCUCUAGGGCAUAUUUCCAACCUGGAGACACCUGUAGUACUCCUUUAUAAUCACCCAGUUACGUUGUGACGUUUGGUAGCACCCAAAGUGUUCCUCCGGUAAACGGGAGUUGCAUAAUCUCAUAGUCAUAGGAACAUGUAUAAGUUAUGGAUGAAAGCAAUAGCAACACACUAAACGAUCAGGUGCUAAGCUAAUGGAAAUGGGUCAUGUCAAUCAGAUCAUUCAACCAAUGAUGUGACCUCGUUAAUCAAAUGACAACUCCUUUGUCUAUGGUUAGGAAACUUAACCAUCUUUGAUUAAUGAGCUAGUCAAGUAGAGGCAUACUAGUGACACUUUGUUUGUCUAUGUAUUCACACAUGUAUUAUGUUUCCGGUUAAUACAAUUCUAGCAUGAAUAAUAAACAUUUAUCAUGAAAUAAGGAAAUAAAUAAUAACUUUAUUAUUGCCUCUAGGGCAUAUUUCCUUCAACAACUAUCGUGAUCAUUUCGGUGAUACUUUCAUGGAGGAUGAUGCUGAAGGUGGGGAAGGGUUAGGUGAAGGUGAAGAAGAGGCACAUGAUGAGCCCGCUGAUGAUCUUGGUCGGACCAUUGCUGAUGCACGGAGACGCUGCGAAACUGACAAGGAGAGGGAGAAUUUGGAUCGCAUGUUAGAGGAUCACAAAAAGUCGUUGUAUCCAGGAUGCGAUAAUAGUCUGAAAAAGCUGGGCUGCACACUGGAUUUGCUAAAAUGGAAGGGACAGGAAGGUGUAGGUGACUCAUCAUUUGAAAAUUUGCUGAAAAUCUUAAAGAAUAUGUUGCCGAAGAAUAACGAGUUGCCCGCCAGUACGUACGAAGCAAAGAAGGUUGUCUGCCCUCUAGGUUUAGAGGUUCAGAAGAUACAUGCAUGCAUUAAUGACUGCAUCCUCUACCGCGGUGAAUACGAGAAUUUGAAUGAAUGCCCUGUAUGCACUGCAUUGCGUUAUAAGAUCAGAGGCGAUGACCCUGGUGACGAUGUUGAGGGCGAGAAACCCAGGAAGAGGGUUCCCGCCAAGGUGAUGAGGUAUGCUCCUAUAAUACCACGGUUGAAACGUCUGUUCGGUUGAAACGUCUGUUCAUGAACAAAAAGCAUGCCAAGUUGUUGCGAUGGCACAAAGAGGACCGUAAGUCCGACGGGCAGUCGAGACACACCGCUGAUGGAAUGCAAUGGAGAAAGAUCGACAGAGUUUUCAAAGAUUUUGCAGCUGACGCAAGGAACUUAAGAUUUGGUCUAAAUACUGAUGGCAUUAAUCCUUUUGGCGAGCAGAGCUCCAGCCAUAGCACCUGGCCCGUGACUCUAUGCAUCUACAACCUUCCUCCUUGGUUGUGCAUGAAGCGGAAGUUCAUUAUGAUGCCAAUUCUCAUCCAAGGCCCUAAGCAACCCGGUAACGACAUCGAUGUGUACCUAAGGCCAUUAGUUGAAGAACUUUUACAGUUGUGGGCGAAACCUGGUGUACGUGUCUGGGAUGAGCACAGAGGAUAGGAAUUUGACCUACGAGCGUUGCUUUUUGUAACCAUCAACGAUUGGCCUGCUCUCAGUAACCUUUCAGGACAGACAAAUAAGGGAUACAGAUAUAAUGUUCAUGCUCAACGCUGGCACCAAAUAACAAUUAUUUAGGUCUAAAACUAAUCCCGAAGGUAGAUGUAGAGGUAGCGUGCCGACCGCGAUCACAUCGACUUUGGAACCAUUUCCCACGCGCAUCGUCACCUCGUCCUUUGCUAGUGUCCGCUUAAUCCGUAGUCCCUGUUUCGAGUUGCAAAUAUUAGCAACAGAACCAGUAUCAAAUACCCAGGUGCUACUGCGAGCUCUAGUAAGGUACACAUCAAUGUAUAUCAUAUAUACCUUUGUUCACCUUGCCAUCCUUCUUAUCCGCCAAAUACUUGGGGCAGUUCCGCUUCCAGUGACCAGUCUGCUUGCAGUAGAAGCACUCAGUUUCAGGCUUAGGUCCAGACUUGGGCUUCUUCUCCUGAGCAGCAACUUGCUUGCUGUUCUUCUUGAAGUUCCCCUUCUUCUUCCCUUUGCCCUUUUUCUUGAAACUAGUGGUCUUAUUGACCAUCAACACUUGAUGCUCCUUCUUGAUUUCUACCUCCGCAGCCUUUAGCAUUGCGAAGAGCUCGGGCAUAGCCUUGCAUAUUAUAGUUCAUCACGAAGCCUUUGUAGCUUGGUGGCAGUGAUUGAAGAAUUCUGUCAAUGACACAAUCAUCCGGAAGAUUAACUCCCAGCUAACUCAAGUGAUUGUAAUACCCAGACAUUCUGAGUAUGUGCUCACUGACAGACCCAUUCUCCUCCAUUUUGCAGCUAUAGAACUUAUUGGAGACUUCAUAUCUCUCAAUCCGGGCAUUCUGUUGGAAUAUCAACUUCAACUCCUGGAACAUCUCAUAUGCUCCAUGGUUCUCAAACCGACGUUGAAGUCCCGGUUCUAAGCCGUAAAGCAUGGCACACUGAACUAUCGAGUAGUCAUCAGCUUUGCUCUGCCAGACGUUCAUAACAUCUGGCGUUGCUCCAGCAGCAGGCCUGGCACCUAGCGGUGCAUCCAGGACGUAACUCUUCUGUGCAGCAAUGAGGAUAAUCCUCAAGUUACGGACCCAGUCCGUGUAAUUGCUACCAUCAUCUUUCAACUUUGCUUUCUCAAGGAACGCAUUAAAAUUCAACGGAACAACAGCACGAGCCAUCUAUCUACAAUCAACAUAAACAAGCAAGAUACUAUCAGGGACUAAGUUCAUGAUAAAUUUAAGUUCAAUUAAUCAUAUUACUUAAGAACUCCCACUUAGAUAGACAUCCCUCUAAUCAUCUAAGUGAUCACGUGAUCCAAAUGAAACUAAGCCAUAACCGAUCAUCACGUGAAAUGGAUUAGUUCUCAAUGGUGAACAUCAUCAUGUUGAUCAUAUCUACUAUAUGAUUCACGCUCGACCUUUCGGUCUCCGUGUGGGAACUUGACUAUGGACCCUCCUUUAAGGUCCGUUUAUUCUGGUGCAAAUGGUUCAAGCUAACAGGAGGUGGGGUAAAGGUGGACGAGCAAUACGGAAUGACAAUGGUGGAUUUCAACAAUCUUGGUUACCUUGACGAAACAUUCGUCCUUGCCAAAGAUGUCGCUCAGGUUUUUUAUUUGAAGGACAUGAGUAGCAAACCGAGGAAACGGAAAGAUAAGAAAACGAUCAGUACAUCAUGCGAUGAUCCAAAGCGCCACAUUGUUCUUUCAGGGAAAAGAAACAUCGUGGGAGUGGAGGACAAGACAGACAUGUCAGAAGAUUAUAAUAUGUUUGGUGAAAUUCCGCCCUUCAAAGUGAACACUGACCCAAGCAUUAAGUUAAAUGAUGAGGAUGCUCCAUGGAUACGGCACAAUCGUAAGCAAGCAGGGACGUCCAAGGGAAGAAUUGAUGUGUAAUAAUUUAUUGUACCAAACUUUGUAUUUGGUCGAUGAACUGAAUGAUGUAUCAAACCUUUUGUCAAACCUUCAAGGGAUUUUAAGAUUUUUUUGAUAUAUAAUUGUAUUUUUAAGAUUUUAAAAUGAAUUAGUUUUAUUUUUCUGAUUUUUUUGAUAUAUAAUUGUAUUUUUAAGAUUUUAAAAUGAAUUAGUUUUAUUUUUCUGAUUUUUUUGAUAUAUAAUUGUAUUUUNNNNNNNNNNNNNNNNNNNNNNNNNNNNNNNNNNNNNNNNNNNNNNNNNNNNNNNNNNNNNNNNNNNNNNNNNNNNNNNNNNNNNNNNNNNNNNNNNNNNNNNNNNNNNNNNNNNNNNNNNNNNNNNNNNNNNNNNNNNNNNNNNNNNNNNNNNNNNNNNNNNNNNNNNNNNNNNNNNNNNNNNNNNNNNNNNNNNNNNNNNNNNNNNNNNNNNNNNNNNNNNNNNNNNNNNNNNNNNNNNNNNNNNNNNNNNNNNNNNNNNNNNNNNNNNNNNNNNNNNNNNNNNNNNNNNNNNNNNNNNNNNNNNNNNNNNNNNNNNNNNNNNNNNNNNNNNNNNNNNNNNNNNNNNNNNNNNNNNNNNNNNNNNNNNNNNNNNNNNNNNNNNNNNNNNNNNNNNNNNNNNNNNNNNNNNNNNNNNNNNNNNNNNNNNNNNNNNNNNNNNNNNNNNNNNNNNNNNNNNNNNNNNNNNNNNNNNNNNNNNNNNNNNNNNNNNNNNNNNNNNNNNNNNNNNNNNNNNNNNNNNNNNNNNNNNNNNNNNNNNNNNNNNNNNNNNNNNNNNNNNNNNNNNNNNNNNNNNNNNNNNNNNNNNNNNNNNNNNNNNNNNNNNNNNNNNNNNNNNNNNNNNNNNNNNNNNNNNNNNNNNNNNNNNNNNNNNNNNNNNNNNNNNNNNNNNNNNNNNNNNNNNNNNNNNNNNNNNNNCCUCGCCUCGCCUCUGUCGCCCCGCCUCGCCUCGCCUCUGUCGCCCCGCCUCGCCGUCGCCCCGCCUCGCCUGAGUCCACAAGGAGGAGAAGAAAAGAGAAAAGAAAUUCCCCUGAGUCCACAUUUAUUUUUUAAAUUUGUCAACAUUUCAAAAAAAUGAACAUUUCAAAAAAGUGAACAUUUUUAAAAUUUAUUAAACAUAAAAAGUGCAUAAAAAUGGUAUAAAAGAAAACAUAAAAGUGCAUAAAAGAAACGAGCGUUAUCUAUACUACUAUUAAAAGUGGAGAGUGUUAUCAGACGAGCAACAUAAAAGUGCAUAAAAAAUGGUAUAAAAGAAAACAUAAAAAAUGCCACCGUAAAAAAUGCCACCGUAAAAAAUGCCACAAUAAGUGUGAAGGUGCCAUGGCAAUAAAUCUAAAUUUUGCCAUGGCAAAAAUAAGUGUGAAGGUGCCAUGGAAAAUAAGAGUAGAAAUUGUCAUGGCAAAAAAAGUUCAAAAUUGCAACAUUCUUCGAAUGAAGAUAUGACAUGACACUACCUUUUUUAAUACAUGCAGGAGUGACAUAUGGCGGACGACAGAACCGAGCCGCUUAGGGAUCCGGAGGCUGAACGUUAUUUAAUGGGCAUCAUCAACAACGAGAUUCCUUAUGUGCCGGGCUCAGAAGAUGAGCAACAAGAGGAUGAUGUAGUCUCUUCUUAUCUGAACCUUGCCGGUGACGAUGAUCAAGAAGGUGAAGGAACGGACAUUGUCGACGGAGGUCAACCGUCAACAACCGACGAUCUCGAAUUUCAAGUAGCAACAACCACCUCCGGCGAGGUAUAUAUAUACAUUGAGAGCCUCUCGUGAUACAAACUUACUGAAAUGUGAAUACAUAUGUAUUAACGCGCGCGACUCUCUUUCUUUUUUUAGCCCUCCGGAUCUGGAUCGAGUACGACAAAGCAUCGUGGCAAAUCCAAGGCGAUGAGAACAGGAGAAACAUAUGCCAUUGAGUCUGUCAGUGAAACCGGCAAGCCCCUACAGCACACCUCAAAGUUUAUCAACCAAUGCGGAGUCGUUGUUAGAGACAACGUCUCGAUCACCGUCCAGGAAUGGAAUGAGCCAAAGAAGGCACGUCUUGGUUUCAGUUUUGUCGACAAGAGAACGAAAAAGGAUUGCUGGAGAAAGCUUAUGGAACAUUUCGUUCUACCUCCGGAAUACAACAAAGUCGAUGAAUUCGGUAACGAGGUUCCGGGUGGACGUCAGAGGAGGAGGCUAGUUAAAGAGUUCGCUCUUCAGAAAAUGGCCGAUGCAUUCCGGAACUUCAAGAAAAAUUUAACCCGUGACUAUGUCAACAAGGGCAAGACUCCGGAUUUCAAUGGACAACAUGAGAAACUGAAAGAUGAUUGGCCAGAAUUUGUGAGGCAAAAGCAAUCGGACCAUUUCAAGGAAAUAUCGAAAAAAAUAAGGAUAAUGCGGGUAAGAAAAAGUACCAUCAUAUUAUGGGGCCAGGAGGAUACCGCAUUGCGGACCCUAGGUGGCAGAAGAUGGAGGAGGACCUGAGGGUGCGAGGAAUCCCUCUAGGUACAGAGGGAUGGGACCCAAGGGCCAAAAGCUGGUGGUACGGGCAUGGGGGGUCGCUAGACCCGGAGACAGGGGAGUGUGUUCACCGGCAUCGACACUUUGCUCCGACCCAAGCCCUUAUUGACGCAAUGACCCAAGCUCAAGCGGGCUUGAUCAAGUUCAACAGAGAGAAAGACGCACUGACUUUAGCCCUCGGGAAUGAUGAACACGGAGGACGUGUACGAGGCAAAGGCAAAGUUCCGUGGAAAGUAGGGUUUUCCCAGGACAAUGACCCGUACGGUUACAAAAGCCGUAAGAGAAAGACGGACCGGGAUGCAGAUCUUAUGACGAAGUUUGCAUCGGAACUCCAUGAGUUGAAGCAGACCGUGCAUGUACUAAUGAAAGAAAAAUCGGCUGCAGGGCCGCAUGAAGAUCAUGAAGCGGAUCGCGGAAGCCAGCAGCGGAGAAGCAGCGUGGCUUCCACGGAUGCCCCGCCUUGUGCUAGUGCACCGAUGAUCGAGAUUCGUGCACCGGAGCCUCACUACCCCGUGGAUGAUGUAAAGGAGAUGAAAGACUGUGAUCUGCAUUAUCCCGUGGGGAACAUUUCCAUGAAGGUAGCUAGCGGCAGUGCUUUACCCUGUACACCUGGAGCACUCCACCACAACAAUCCCAUUGCAUAUGGCUAUGCUCGUGUCACGGUGGAAGACAUAGUCCAAGGGUUUGAGGACCUGGAGAUUGACAAACCUACACCCGAAGGGGAGAGCAGACUUGGAGAUGUCAAGCGCCAGUUCAUUCUAUGGAAAAAGAAGUACAUAGUGUUUCCAGGCGAGGCGCCAAGGCUAGCAAGUCCACCCCCUUCCGAUGGUGGUGGUGGUGGUGGCGGUGGUGGCGGUGGUGGUGGUCGUGGUGGUUCACCUACACCUCCUUCACGCCAUUCGACGCCGUCCCCCGAUCCACAACAUCCGGCGGGUACGACGCCCCCCAAUCCUCCUCCGGCGGGUACGGCGCCCCCCAAUCCACCUCCGGCGGAUAAGACGCCCCCCAAUCCACCUCCGGCGAAGAAGCAGAAGCAGGCGGACAGCAAGGAAACCCGCUCCUGGACUAUUAACCCGGACCCUUAUGUACCUAAGACCACAAGGGUACCGGAGCCCUCACUGAAGCCUCUCCUCCCAAGGCCUGGGGAACGUAGUGAAGCUGACCUCACAUUGGCCGCGUCUGCUGAUUAUGAGAAAUGGAAGGCAGAUAUGAAGGCGAAAAAACAGCCUGAGCCCAAGUAAGUAUUCACUGAGAAGGAAAAGAAGUGGGCCAAGGACUUUUUGACGACACCGUCCCAAGCCGAGCUGAAUAUGCCUGACGACUAUGGACAUGAACUUCGUAGGCAAGCAAAAAUAUUGAACGAGGAAGAAAGUAAAAAAAGCGGGAAACAAGUUGACCAGCUCGGGAUGGAGAAGAAACAAUCUAUCCCCCAGCUCAUAGUGAAAGCCGGUCCGGAAGAGGACCCCGAGAUCAUAGCAGCUGCGGCAGCACUUGGAUUGACUGUAGCGGGUGCCAUGCAACAAGCGUCCGAGAUGGGUUUGACUCUUCGUGCCUGCUUAGACCUUGAGGAUGCGCCUGUAGGUGAGAUAGCAUUCCAAUAUGUGCGGAAGGGGCCUCUCGUCGAGCCUGAGGAGGAAAAUAGUCUACCACAACAAAUGCGAAAGCUGCUACGUUGGUACAAGCAAUUCAUAACAUAUGCCGACAAAGAAUAUGUUUAUGCGGAUGUUACACAUGAGCAUCACAUCAAACAGUACUAUGUACAAGUUCAUAUGAGUGAAUUGUUCCAGCUAUUCAAUCUGCGCGCCCUCGACAAAUGUAUGCUGAGUUGCUACGUUCUGUAAGUGUGAUUUAUUUCUACCUCAUCUCGUUCUUCAUUGCCUGCACUAUAUAUAUAUAUAUAUAUAUAUAUAUAUAUAUAUAUAUAUAUAUAUAUAUAUAUUGUCCUAACUAUAUUGUUGCGUACGCUAUAUAUUAUGCAGAAUGAAGAUUUGGGAAUGCAGAAUAAAAAACAUCCAUGAUGUUGGGUUCAUUGACCCACAUAUCGUUAAUGGACAUGUGUUAGAACAUUACCCCAACGACGUGGAGAAAGACCUGUACAAGUUUCUUAGAAAGCAUCAACUCAAAAGUAAUAUUCUAUUUCCUUACCAUUUUGGGUGAGUGUUUCUCUCUUGUGCCCAUUCUCUUUUGUUUACUCAAUGCAUGGUAUGUCUAAUCGAUGAGUUAUGCAUGACUGUGCAUGUAACGUGUCCACAGGUUCCACUGGAUUCUGCUAAAUAUUGAACUUCACACCUCCACAGUUCUAAUCAGCGACUCUAAGGAUUCGGAUCCAAAGCAUUGGGCCGACAUGAGAAAAAUGCUGAAAAAGUAAUUAUUUUCAAUCAUUUGAGCUCUAUAUCGACCGGUCUCUUUCGUUCAUUUCCUAAUAUCAACUAACUAAUAACUCCCUUAUUCAUUUAAUUUUCUUUGCCCUGUAGGGUUUGGAGACGGUUCUCAGAAGAAAUUAUCGGUGAAUUCAAACAUGAGCUAGAAUUCAGAAAGUUAGUUAAUGUGGAUCAGCAGCCACCGGCGACCGAUCUAUGUGGAUACUAUGUUUGUGAGAACAUCCGGAGAGAAACCACUGAGCGGAAGGAAUCACCUAGCGUGCGGAACGCGAGGGAUAACUUGCGGAGGAGGCUUAGUCCAGAAGCUCGCUUCCGACCAAUUCAAGAAGAAUUAGCAGGAUUUUUAAUGAGGGAAGUCAUCGAUCCUAAAGGACAACACUAUACCGAGGACGAAGAAAUUUAUAUGCAUACCCGAGAUUGAAACUUGUUCGAAGUUGUAUAUGGUCAUCCAUCCUAAUUGUGUAUGGAAACUUGUUUCGAAGUUGUAUAUGGUCACCCGAGAUUGAAUAUAUAUUAUAUAUUCCUCUUGAAUUCUUCUUGUUUGAAAUUUCAUAUGCAUGUAUAUAGUAGCGUAGAAUAUGUGUACUGAAACUUCAUCAAAAAUAAAAUAAAACACAAAAUAAAAUAUAAAACAAAUAAAACAAUACAAAUUAAAAAGAAACCAGGUUUAGGGGGGCUAAAACCCUAAACCUGCCGAGGAGGCCUUUAGUCCCGGCUGGCCACGAGAGCCGGGACUAAAGGUCCUCGGCCCCGACGAACCACGGGCGCCCACGUGGCGGGCCUUUAGUCCCGGUCAGCCACAAGAACCGGGACUAAAGACUUUUGUCGCGGUCCGGAAGAGCCGCGGCUAAAGGGGGGGGGGGUCUUUAGUCGCGACCAUUUAGUCCCGGUUACACAGCCGGGGCUAAAGGCUGUUGCGAACCGGGACUAAAAGGCUUUUUUCUACCAGUGCAUGGACAUCCUGAACCCAUGGGCAUAUGAACCCGCUUUUUUAAAAUGCAUCUUAAACGGAUUUUAAAAUGUCAAAAAUAGGAAUAAAAUUUCACGCAUACAUCUUCCCAACAUGUGUGCGCGGCAUAAUGUUUUGUGAAAAACUUAUUUUUAUUUCGCCACUGCAAAAAAAGACAAAUUUCAGUCCUCUUAAAUAGUGUUCCACGACACAUUUUUUGUCAACGUUAAUUUUUCAUGAUACUUUCUGUGCGCACAUAGAAUGUGAAGAAGUAUCCAUCAAUUUUUUUCCAGAAUUUUUCGGCAAUUAGAAAGGAGUUUUUUUCAAAAUGGGUUCAUAUGCCCAUGAGUUGAUCCAUGCACUUCCGGGUGUACUUGCCCCUUCUGAUCUACUACCUCCAUGACAGAAUAUACAAAACGUCAUAUAUUUUGGUAUGGAGGUAGUAGAAGUGUUCACUUAACUGCUAUUGUAGUAGAUAUGAUUGCAUUGCUCACAUUACGACAUACCUACUCUCUCCAGAUUAAAAAAUAGAAACUCACUCACUCCAGUACAGUAAAUUGACGUUUUGGACAGCAUGAUAGCCAUAAUUGCAGCAGAGAUUAGCUGUCCAGUAAAUCUGACUGGAGGUAGUAAGACCUCCUCCAAUGCACCUCAUCUUAGGCUAGUUAUAGUGGGAAGUAAUUUAGACUAAUGUCAUGCAUAUGACAUUAGUCUUUGUUACUAUCUUCAUAGUGCAAAGUAACAUACAAGUAUUAUCAUAGAUGAUAGCAUUUAUUACAUUAUAGACUCAUUUUGCUUUGGGUUGCGUUAUGUUACAGUAACAUAUUAUGUUACUCCAAACACCUUUCUCCUCAUUAACUCUAUGCCACUUAAGCAAACCUGUCUUGAAAUGCGCUAUGUUACUUGCUAAGUUACUCCCACUAUGACCAGCCUAAGAUGAGGUGCUAAGCACAUUAAAGAGCUAAGCAACUAAAGUCCCCAAUGCAAAGGUGCUUAGUUUCCUGUAGCUUAGCAUCAUUCAUUUAAUGAUUUAGAAACUAAAGUUAUCCAUGCAUUGAUGGAGUUCUUUCAUUUAAGUGUUUUCCCUAGGUUCUCGCGCUUGGUAUUGUUUCUUUCUGGGGUCACCACACCCAUCUCUCUCCUCUUAAUUACCUUGUCAAAUCAUCUGUUUUGCCUACAUGACGGCCUUAGCAUCUAUACAAGGUGGAGCAUCGAGAGGGUCCUAAUAAAUUAUGCUCCUAUUACUGGUUUCUUUCUGCCUUGGUACUGCUCAGUGAUAAGACAUUGAGAAAAUCAAAUUGAUACUUGCAGGAAAAUAAAUUUUUUUUCUGCUGGAUGCUGACUAUUACUCCACUUGUGUGGAUCGACUAGAUAGAUUGUUGUUGCACGUGGUCGGCCAUGAUCAUCUACAGGAACGUACAGCUCGAGAUCUAUGGUCUCGCACUUGUCGCCUGCAAACCCCACUAUUAGCUCCAUCUUACUCCCUCCAUUUCGGGUUUAUUGUGCCCCCAAGAUCAGACACCACGACCAAACCAGUAGGUUUGUGGAGAAGAAAGAUUUAGAUGAUAAACCCAAUGGAGAGGGUAAAAAAAGGUCAGCAUCUCGAGAGCUGGAAGUGCUCCAUGGUCGCGAUCUCGAGAGGACAGAGGAGGAUGGGCCACGUAGGCAGCGUGCAUCGCGUGCUCGAAUCUGCCAGAAGUAGGAUUGGCCGUGUCAAUUAUAUUAAACCUACGUACUGUCUCCAGUCAAGAGAACGUGACGUUUUGGACAGCAUGGUAGCACUAACUGCAGCACAGUUUGUUUGUCCGGUAAAUAUGACUGGAGGUAGCAAUACAUUAUGCGGUGUGGAUUUUUUUUUGCAACAAACAUAGUCUAGAAAAUAUGAAACUUCUUUGCAACAAACAUAGUCUAGCAUAAUACUCAUGUUCAAGUUUUGGGACAAAAUGAGCUAUGUCGUAUUAUGAGCGAAAAAACAGAUAUGCAGCUAAAAAAACCAGGAAUAGUAGUGUUUAUAUAGUAGUACUUUAUCCAUUCCCUUAUACAAGGACAUUAUGAAAAAUACAUUUUGCAUCUAUACAAGGUCACUAACAGUAUCGAGGCAAAAAUUAAUAAUGUUUUCUCGUACUAGCUACUUGUUUUGUUCCUUUAUAUAAGGUGCAUUUGUUUUUUGAUAAAAAAAAUUAAACGUAAGGUGCAUUUCUUCUAAUUCCUCAUAAUUCCCUUGUUAGCCCUUCAGAAAAAAAAGGAAGUAUCUGUCUCCCGAUUGCCUAUAUCUCUCCUUGUAGCAAAAAAAAAAGAAACUAUCUCUUUAUCGAUUGCAUGUAUCUGUUAUUUUCCUUGACUAGCCGAUUUACUUGCCACUAAUUAAAAAAAUUGUCAAGGGUAAUUUCGUUCUAACCAGUCUAUAAUUACGUUCCUUGGUCACCGUGCCGAAAAUAAUAUACCUCACAUAAAGGAAUGGAGGGAGUCCUUGUAUGCAUGUAGUCAUAAUGACACUGUGCUACUUCCUUCUCAUUCCUUGCUUGCAUGCAUGCAGGUGUAUUAAUGAUCCUAGAUAAAGGAAAAGUUGGCUUGCAAAACAAUCAUUAAAUUUUAUCUUGGGGCCUGUAAUUUGAGUUUGUGACCUUUUAUAAGGGAACAGAGAGAGUAUUGAUUAUGUUGCAUUUUCCUCGGAAUACGGCGUAAAUCGUUGUUCUGAAACUCUUAACAUGAGCAUUGCUAGACCAUAUGUCUUGUUAAAAGGUUUCAAUUUUUUUGACUAUUUUUAAUACUCCCUUCGUUCCAAAAUAUAGCGCGCCCGUGCUUUUCGAGGUUCAACUUUGACCAUAAAUUUAACCAACAAGACCGACUGCGGCGGGAGGAAAAAUUAUAUAAUUGAAAACUUCUUUUGAAUACGAAUUCACCGGUAUAAUUUUUGCUCCCGCCGUAGGCGGUCUCGUUGGUUAAAUUUAUAGUCAAAGUUGAAGCGUGGAAACCGAGGACGCACUAUAUUUUGAAACGGAGGGAGUAUUUCUUUUCAAUUCGGGUGUGCCUAGCUAGACCGAGGUUCCACGACCAUUUUCGUAGAUUAUGCUCCUAUUAUUGGUUUCUGUCUGCCUUGAUACGUACUGAUGAGUGAUAACACAUUGAGAAAUAACUUGAUACUUGCGGAAAAAUAAAAUUUUGCUGCCCCAUGCUGCUACUGACUAUUACACCUGUAUGGAUGGACUAGAUAAAUAGUUGUGCAUGUGGCAGGCCAUGAACUACGGCUAGGGAGAUCGUGGCGCACGUGAGCCAAGGCCUCAAGCGCGACUAUAUAUUUCCGGCUGGAGCAGCAUCUAUACUCCAACACUUGCCUUGUAUUGUUAAUGCGUGUGGCUGCAGCGGGCACAGAUUCAGAUCAUCAUGCCCGCCACCGAAAAUGCUGCCGGCGAGGCCUGGGACCGCCGACGUGAGCUGCAGGCGUUCGACGACACCAAGGCGGGCGUCAAGGGCCUCGUCGACGCCGGCGUCACGGCCCUCCCGCCCAUCUUCCGCCACUCGCCGGAGUCCCUGGAGGGCAUCACGUCCUCAAACCAUGACGCCGCGGCCAUCCCGACCGUCGACCUAUCGGCCGCGCGGCGCGAGGACACGGUCGCCCUUGUGCGGCGCGCGGCCGCGACGGUGGGCUUCUUUCAGGUGGUCAACCACGGCGUGCCGGCUGAGCUCAUGGCCGGCAUGCUCGAGGCCGUGCGCCGGUUCAAUGAGGGGCCCGCCGAGGCGAAGCAGGCCAUCUACAGCAGGGACCAAGCUCGCAAGGUGCGUUUCGCCUCCAACUUCGACCUCUUCUCGUCGGCGGCGGCCAACUGGCGCGACACCCUCUUCUUCCACCUCGCUCCGGACCCGGCACCUUCCCAAGACCUGCCCGAGGCUGUGAGGUACGUAGUAAUCCAUACAUGAUCCAUCAUGCAUGGAUUUCUAGUUCAUAAUAUACUCAAUUAUUUUGAAACAAAAAAUAUAUGUAGGGACGUUGUCACCGAGUACGGCAAGGCGGUGACCAAGGUGGCGCUGUCCGUGCUGGAGCUGCUGUCGGAGUCCCUCGGCCUGAGCAGCGACCACCUGCGCGAUAUGGGCUGCGCGGAGAACCUCAACGCGGUGUGCCAAUACUACCCGCCGUGCCCGGAGCCGUACCUCACCUGGGGCACAAAGAGGCACACCGACCCGGGGUUCCUCACCGUCCUCCUGCAGGACGGCAUGGGCGGCCUUCAGGUGCUCGUCGACCGCAAGACCUGGGUGGACGUCCCUCCGGUGCCCGGCGCUUUCAUCAUCAACAUCGGCGACCUUCUUCAGGCAUGCAUAUCCACCAUCCGUCUCCAUCCAUUUCGCUCGCUCGCUCGCUCUCUCUCUCUCUCGCUCUAAGUUGUACUAAUAUGUAACUCUGAUGCUGUGCAGCUUGUCAGCAAUGACCAGUUCAGGAGCGUGGAGCACCGGGUCCUGGCCAACAAGAGCAAAGACACGGCGAGGGUCUCCGUGGCGUCCUUCUUCAACACCGACAUGGAGAGGUCGACGAGGCUGUAUGGCCCCAUCACCGACGGACGCAACCCCCCUAUCUACAGGAGCGUCACGGCUCGGGACUUCAUCGCGACGUUUAACCGCAUCGGCCUCGAUGGUCGCUCGCUCGACCACUACCGGUUGGACCAGGAUACUCCUGCACAUGCUGUGGAGGGGUCUGAAUGAAGUGACAUUUCCAUUUCUUUAUAAUUUAUUUGCAAGUUCAAGUUUAAGCAUUUCCAAAUAAGGGAACGUACUCUAUUCCUCCAACCAAAUAAGUGCCAUAACUGUUGACAAAACUCUCUCACUCAACCAAAGUAUGAGCAGCAUCGCAAAAGUGAGAAGCUGUUGGAAAGAUGCCCUGGAGGCAAUAAUGAAGUUGUUAAAUAUUAUUCUAUUGUCCACAUUAUCGAUUUAGCUUACAUUUUAUACUAUAUAUGUGCAUAAGUUCUUGAAUAUGUGAUUCUAGAGGAAAACCUGCAUGCAUAUAUGAAAUGGUAGACACCAUAAGGAUCCCUAGUCAGGCCUCCAGAUAAGCUCAUGUUUGUUGACGAUCAAGUUUUCCAAAUCAUUGACACCAGAGUACCGGAUGAAUAUUUUCAGUCACCAAACGUUAUACACUAACUGGGUAAUCAUAAAGGUAACUUUUAGGUAUUCCAAAAAUUAUAACCUGGUGCUAGAUAAGUCAAGACUAAGAUUUACCCCUCGGCAAUGAAGGGAUACACUCUGGGCCCUCUUUUUUUUUUUUUGAGGAAAGGCCAUCAUGGCUAGCUUUAUUAUGAUCAAAUAAUAGAUACAUCGUCUACGAGCUUGCUGACCAAAACGUCAGGUGGCUCGUGCAACCAAGAAGAAGAGAUCUUAUUACAAUAACUAUGAUUCGCUAGCACAUGAGCUGCUUGAUUAGCAGACCGAUAACAAUGUUUAUAGACGACCUUUCCUAUAGCCGUAGCCGUAUCCACACACUCCGCAAAGAUUGCCGUCGCUGCAUCCCACCAUCUGGAUUGUCCAGUACAAAAGUUGAUCACCUGCAUAGAAUCAGACUCCGCCUCAAGGCGAUUGUAUCCGAGAGAAUUAGCUAGCUCAAGUCCAUCUUUCAUGGCCAUCGCUUCGGUUGUGACUACGUCAGCUGCAAAAGGGACAAACCUGCAUUUGGCAGCAAUAAAAUUACCAUAUGCAUCUCUCAGAAUAGCUGAGAUCGCUCCCAUUCCCUCUUCCUCAUAGAACACUGCGUCCACAUUUAAUUUCACAAAUUUUGGAUCAGGUUUACUCCAUUUUCUGUCUUGUGUUCCACUUGGCUUAGAGAAGGCUUUGUGAUAAUUGCUUGCAAUCGCUAACACUGAUAUGGGCCAACGGAUAAUCGGAGGGAUUGUCUCAUUAUGCGUAAUGCGUCGCCUGAUCCACCACAAAUACCAGCAAGCCACUGCCACAACCUGCUUAAAGUUCAGAGUUGGUUCGAGCACCAUUGGGAUAUCCGACAAGUUCAGCAAAAACUCCAAAACCGCGGACCCUGAUCUGUCCACUACUGUUGCCUGGUUAAUUACUUCAGUUAGCCGCAAGCGCUGCCACAUCUCCUUUGCAUGGGUGCAUGUGAAUAGCAAAUGAUGUAGGUCUUCUGCUCCUUGAUGGCAAAUCGGACAGGCUCCAUCACUACCAAUAUGUCUGUUCAUUAGUAUGGAUUUCAGUGGAAUAAUUCCGUGCAAUACCCUCCAGCAAAAAAAUCUAAACUUUGCGUGGAAUAUUUAGUUUCCAUAGUAUUCUCCAUACGGCCGGAGGAUUAGAGCCAGUUGCUCCUGAAAUUCCAUUUGCCUGAGACCUAAAAGUAUGCAUCCACUGUAAUCUGUACGCCGUUCGGACAGAGAAGAUUCUUGUUCUAUUCACAUGCCAAGCAACAAAGUCAUCAAAGGCUUGGUGAUUCAAGGGUAUUUGCAAUAUCCUUCGCACAUCCACAGGGUUGAAGAUGCUUCUCAGUAGCUCCUCAUCCCAUGUGCCAUUAUUUGGGUCAAUGAGAUCACUUACCCGUGACAUUAAUGUUUGCCCACGAGGGGUAAUUAUCUUUCGAUCCGAGCUGGAAGGUAUCCAUGGAUCAUCCCAUAUAUUCACUGUAUCACCAGAACCAAUUCUCCAAAUAAAACCUUUCUUGAAAGUCUCUAGCCCCUUCAGAAUACUUUGCCAUGUGAACGACGAUCCUUGUUUAGGAGUAGCUUGAAGUAAGCUCCCAUUUGGAUAAUAUUUCGCUUUCAAAACACGAGCACAUAGAGACUCUGGUUCAGUAAUUAACCUCCAGCAUUGUUUAGCAAGCAUGGCUAAAUUGAACGAAUAUAGAUCACGAAAUCCCAUACCGCCUUCACUUUUAGGGAAGCACAAUUUCCACCACGAGUACCAGUGCAUUUUCCUAUUCUCCUCAUCGUCACCCCACCAAAAUUGGGAAAUAAUAUCUGUGAUAUCCUUACACACACCCUUAGGCAGGCAAAAUACUGACAUUGCAAAAACUGGUAUUGCUUGGGCCACUGCCUUAAGUAGGAUUUCCUUGCCCCCUGUGGACAACUGUUUUUCCAUCCACCCAAUUAACCUAGCUUUAAUUAUCUCCCAAAAGUGUUUAAAGCAAUCACUCCUAUCUUCCCCCACCAUAGCAGGUAGACCAAGAUACUUAUCAGAUAAUGCUUCAGUAUCAAUGUGUAGGAUUUGGCAAACUUCUGCUCUAGUUACCACAGUUGUGUUUGGGCUGAAAAAGAUGCUUGAUUUUGAUAGACUCACCAUCUGACCCGAACUUUGGCAAUAGGUGUCUAGUACAUGCUGUAAGGAAGUUGCAUUAAGAACAUCUGCUCCCAUGAGAAUUAGAGAAUCAUCAGCGAAUAAAAGGUGUGAUACUGACGGUGCAUUUCUACACACUCUAAUCCCAUCCAUGCCAUCAACUUCUUCUUCAUACUGCAACAUACAAGAUAGACCUUCCGCACAAAGAAGGAAGAGAUAGGGAGAAAGGGGGUCCCCCUAUCGAAUGCCUCUAUGCGUCACUACUAGAGAUUAGGCUAAUAACGACCGACAACUAAAAGUAUUGGUUGUUAUAAGUACGAUGGGCUAGUCCCACGUUCAAACUAAUCACGCGAAACUUCCCCAACGACGAUCGAUAUCCCGGUCGUUAGUUUGGUGGUCGUUGUUGAUUAAGUACAUAUAUUUGUUAUUUUUAGAGAGUAAUUAGCAUCCUUAUCUGAUGAGGGAGGGAUAAUAAGGUAAAUAACAAACACAUCUAAGUAUUCCUAAUUUCCUGGCGCGUCCCCUCUCAGAUCGAGUCGCUCCCCUCGGGAUGUUGCCGCCACCGCCAUGAUCGCCACCGCAUGCCCAGUCUGCGCAAUCUGCUAUGAGCGCAGUACGAAGCAAUGGCUAGAGUAUUGCCCAGGCGCAGGAGGCAAGAAGGGCAUGUUCCCCAUCUGCAAGCAGGCCCGACCCGCCUCUUCAAGUCCACCGGCAAGUGCCCCACGCUGGCGUCCCCCUCCCCUCCUCGUCGCAGGACCUCGACCCAGAUGCCCUCGCUGUCGAGGUCGUCCGAGUGGAGCAGAAGGCUUCAUCCCUUGGUCGGGUGCUCGACGAGCAACGAAUCGGAUGCAGAGGCUCCACGCCGAGGUUAGUUUUGCUACCUCAUCGGUCGGAUCUAGGUCAGUGACGAGGUCAGUGCUGCUACAGCAUCGGCCGUAGCUCAUAGUGGGCUGUUGAUUUUUUGAGUCGUUAGAUGGUUCUUGGUUCAAGUCGUUAGAUGGGAGGGGAAGGGGGCGGUGGAUAUGAUGCGACAGUUGUCUAGGAAGGAGAAACAGCGCAGCUGUUGCUCAAUGCGAAAACAGAGGUUGAAUUCGGGUUGUAGUCUCUCGCAUGCCAUGAACAGGACAGAUAUUGGGGACGAGCAGUGUCGCGGCUUGCAAAGGCUGCCGUGUAGCAGGUAAUUAUAGCUAACUGAAUUCUUCACUCGGCCAUUCUUGUUUGAGAUUUUUCGAUUUGAAAGUGAAGAUGCAAACAUGUAGGUUUGUGGAGGUGAUAGCGCCAGUUUUGUGGCACUAAUCUAGGUACGUGCGUACACUUUUCAGCACAAAAUUGGCAUUUUUGGACUUGUCUGAUAUGAAAGUGAGGACAAUGUGUUCGGCUGUUGAUUAUUUAACUUGUACAUGAUUGAUAAUUUUGGCUUGUGUGAACUGAAAAGAAGAGUUAACGAGUUUGAUUUCAGAAUGACCUCGUCCAUGGAUGGCCUAUUGACUCCUACAUCUGGAGGUGUGUCGAUAUAAGCAUUGCCUAAUUAUUGAGCAGCAACAUCUGAAAAUAUAUCAUGUGCAAUAUAUUGUCAUAUAUACGUAGUUGUAUAAAAAAAAUCUCUGUUGAUUUAAUUUGGCAGAAUCCCGAAGAGCAGAUUGCCAUUGUAGACGCUCAGUACAUGGUCCAUCAUGCAGUUCCCAUGCUCCAGGGCAAGGUAAUUGUAAGUUUUCUUGUAAGCUUAUACGUCUCAAAAAUCAAUGUCUCCUUGUGUGCUCAGUUUUACAUAUGCGCAUCAGUUAGAAGCUCCUAGCUAUUUGCCUCCAGGGUGGCAAAGAAAAGCGAAGAGGCUGUUUUGAGGUGUGUAUAUCACUUAUUCUUGAGCUGAAUGGUAGUUUUUUAAGAAGAGGAGAAUAAUGUUCAGUGUUAAUUUGUUGGCUAUAUGUAUUAAAAGAAUUAGUUGGUUAUAUAACAACAACCAAAAAAGCUCAAUUUGUUUUGUUGAGAAAUAAAACAACUCCAAUUUUGCUCGAAUUAGACAAGAAAUAUUCCAAGUAAUCUGUUUAAAAAAAUAGUUUGUCUUUGUUGCAUAUGGACUAUAGAAGAAUUCAAGUGCAAAUUUGUUUCUUCAUGCUAUUAUCCUUUGUGCUAGUUCUUUUAUAUGUACUGACUUAUAAAUCAUUUAUGUUUUUUGUAGAACGGAUGGUCCACCGUUAAAGAAACAUCACGAGGCAUUGUACUCAUUGCUGAAGGAUGAUAAGGACUUGUGAUGGUGUCUCAUGAGUGAAGAGAAAAUAUUUACUGGUUGUUACUCUAUUUUUUUCGGUACAAAUGAAACUGCAGUGGUUGUUCUAGACAGUGUUUUUGGUUAAUAAUUUCCCAAUGGUAUUUAUCUCCAGAUAUGUAAGUGGGGAGUUAGAGCAAGAGAUUUGCGAGGAUCAUCAUUAAGUAUGGCUGAAUUGGUUUCUAAACUACAAUCUUCUGAACAAGCGAGCCAAGUGCUUGAAGAAAAGUUUGUUGGAAGUGUCAGAAAUUAAGCGUCUUGGGUCUGCUAGAUAGUAAGUGAUAAUUCUCAAGGAAGCCAACAUGAUCAAGUAAGUUGUUCUCAUACAUUGAUUUUAUAUGUUUUUGUACUUUGUGGCAAUUUAUUUACAUGGACUGACUUUCAUAAACUACUCAACAUUUUGUAGGACUGAUGGUCCACCAUAAUAUUAUAGAAGCAUGAGGAGGCAUUGUAAUCGCUGAUGAAAAAUGAUAUCCAUUCAAACAAUGAUGGUGUACCUUGAUUGAAGAUUAAUAGAUAUUAUCUUUAGUUAUCUUGUUUUGUAGAUAGGUACGAUGAAGUACGUUGGGCAUAUAAGGAGUGCUUUUGUCUCAAAUUUCUUAAAGGAUAUUUAAUUAUAGAAUUUUAUGUCAGAAUAUUGGCAUUUCUAUUAAUAAAAGAGGCUAUGAUAAUUUCAAUUCAUUUCUUUUGUUUCUACAUUAUUGAAAUGUUGGAUGUUGUAUAAAAUGUUCGUUGAACGGUAUACUAAAUAUAAGUGGCUCUGGAGGAUAUCAAAGUGUUAAGAGUGGUCGGCAAUGAUAAUUUGGCCAGCAUGAUAACAAUAUUAGCGACGACAAAGUGGUCGUUAUUUUCAUGGGGUUGACGACGACACACCAUCCUGUCAUUACAAGAAUAACGAACACAAAAGGUAUGUGGUCGUUAUACUUUUAACGAUGGAGCCUACUAUGACCAGCAGAUUGUGGUCGCUAAUGACCUUUAACGACCACAAUUUGACCUUCAACGACCACAUAUAUCGUCGUUAAAAACCAUUUUUCUAGUAGUGCGUUCUUCAUAACAACUUUAAGAUUCAAUGUCAAUUGAUAGAGCAAAACAACACCAUUGUGGGAAAAUUCACUGGAGCUCCUGGCACGAAUUAAUUUCAGAAAAACUGAAAUUUGGGGUUAUGAAACCAAGGUGCCCAAUCUACUCCAGUGUGAAGAUUCAUUAAAAAAAUACCAGAAAUUGUAUCCGUGGCAAAGAAAUCCAAACAGUUUUUCUCUCUGCAAAGGAAUUUUUCUCCUUUUUUUACUAAGAAUGUGUUUCCUGGUAUUUUUUUACAAAUUUUCACACGAGAAUAAAUUGGGCACCCAGAUUUGAAAUAAUAAAAAAACAGGGUUUUCUGAAAUUUUCACAGUUUUUUAACUUAAUACUCAUAUAGAGGGGUACCUGGGGCACGCGAGUCCUCCAAAUCCUCUCCCCACUAUCGUGUGAGUGUACAAGUACUAUUAAAUAGCAUGCUUUAUACUAUUGUUUUCUCACAUGCACUUAGGUAUAUGAUAGGAGAUACUGUACAUGAAUGAGACAUACAAAAAUCAAACCUUUUUUUAUCGCUCUGCAGAAGUUCAAUACAUUUACAUAUACAUGUCCACAAACUCCUUUGACUAUUGGGUUUAAAUUUAUUGGAAUGUGGGCGAUGGUCGCCCUUAUGUCAUGCUAUUUGCUGGUUUUGUGGCAUUGUGUGUUAUCCUAUUGGCUGGACUAUCCAACGCUAAUUUUGUGUGUUCAUGCGUGUCGUCGGGGAGAAAAUUGCGCAACAAGGCAUUCCCUACUCCCACGUUAACUAGAUUUCUCCAUCCUCCCUUACCUAGGAGAGUCGUAUAAGUACUGUGUCGAAUCCGAGUGGUAUGGAAUUAGGGAUGAGAUUUUCCUCUCCGUCAAAUGCAUAAUAAUCGUUGGUACCAAAAAUGAGAAUCGCCACAAGAUAGAGAUUGUCAGACCUCAAACACAAGGACUGUGUACUCAAAUUCUCCUUGAGGUCGAUCCGUUCUGACGUUAUUGGGAAUUGCACGACCAUGUAUAGAAAAGCAGUAUCCAGAAGGCUCCCUGAGAACUGGGAUCCAAUUAGCUAUAUAAUAUACGGCAGCCAUAUUGACCCGUUCGUCCAACCAAUCAAUUAUGGCACCAUUGUUCUGGUUUUCGAGGUUGAAGUCUUCAUAAUACCCUGGGACGGACCAAUGUUGUCUGCAGAGGGAAAUAAUUUAGAAAACAAAUUGGGUUGCUGAUUGAAUAAUAAAUCGAUGUUUAGUGGCAUACCCAUCAGAAGAGGGGAUCAUCGCAAACAGUAGUACAACAGCAAUAAAAGCCAUGCCAAACUGCAAUUCAGAGAAAUCAUCAUCGUUUUUUGCUUUUCUCCAAAAUCUCACAGCCACUAAAUCAAAGACAAGGUGAAGGAUAUCAUGCUGGACCUAUCAACAUGAUGGUACCCUGAAGCUAGGUAGAUAUAUAGACUUGCAGGUUUGCCAGAUUGCAUUUUCCCUACAUUUCAUCACACGUUUCUCCAAGACGGUACUGUGUUGACAUGAAAAUCAUGUGAUAGAUCAUGCAUUGCUAGCAUGGGUGAGUUGCCAUCUGAUGUGGUUUCAUGCUGCAGCUUACAUGUACUUAUGGCCUUUGAAAACUUGUUCUAGGGGAACCAAACCAACUCGUAGCCAUUACAUGCAGUACAAGAAUCUAGUGAAGUGUCAAUAUUCACACCUUAUUUAAUAAAAUGCAGCAACUGUUUUUUGCACGCCAGUUACAUAUGGAUGGGUGUAAGUCAUGCAAACUGAAUUGCUAACAGCCACAGCUUACUAAUGGUAAACAACACCGCCAUGCAUGAAACAUCACAUGAUAGUUCUCAUAUCAAUCCUUUUGUAUCUAUCCUACGAUAGAAAAGAGAUAAUGAUAUAUCAUACUUCAACAGCUCACCAUGUGCAAUUUUUCUUGGCAGAAUACGUGCUACACACUAAGCAUUAUUUGAAAUACAAUAACUGGAGUAGGAAUGUUGUACAAAUGCAUAAACGGUUGAACAAAAACAACUGAGCAAGCCACUAAAAACGUAAACAGUUUCCGCUUUCAUCUUACCCGCACCUUUCAGAAGAAACUAUGCUCGAUAAAUUGCUAUAGUAACUGCGAGUGACAUGAAUGAUUUCUUCACUUCAACCAUAAACUACUUUUUGAUUUAUUUCCAUGCCAGAAUCUCUAACAAACAAGCAUGGUCUAGCAUUAACAAACAGGAACGAGAACGGAACAUAUGUUGGUUUUGGUCCCUAGAUCAAAUCACCCUAGGCGUAUGUGCAAGCUAGCCUCAACCAAGCAACCAAGCAGGCAGCUGGAUUGAUGAACAGUAGCCACACACACGUACAAGUUUACGCCGAACGGAAAAACUGAUCGAUGGAUUUUGUUGAUAGCCACAGGGGCGUGUCGCUCCUGGGUCUCUCUUUUGGCUUUUCGUUGUCUUGGUGAUUUACAGCGUGGGUUACAUAGGUAUAUAAAGAAGCUAACCUGCCCCUAUACAAAACCUAUUCGGUGAAUACUUGGAGUACUACUCGGACUGGUACAUGUACGUGUGCUCGGACGUCGUGUUUAUUCCUACAUUCACCCCUCUAGACAUGACGUCCUCGGCGCGACCUGAAUCCCAAAUGCGACGACUAUUACUCAUAGACUUCAUCGUUGGCAUUGCCUUUGUCAUUCCUCGCAGCUUUUCAGGGACCGCCUUUAUUGUCAUCAACUCGUCCAUAGCUUGACGCCAACGCUCCUUCUUGGUCGCUUCUUCAACUUUCACCUGUUCUCCGGUACUUGAUAGACUGUCUUGUAGAUCCGUGAGGGGAUAGAUUGUUGGCUUUUAUAGGGCUAGCUUGUAUUCAGCAGGACGUAAUUGAUGUACGCUUGUGAAUCUAGCAAGCUGGCACCCAGGCAGCUUAAUCGACCUUGGCGGAACUCACUCGCUUGGUGAUAGGAAAAAAAAAACCCGGAACGAAAUUGAUUUUGGUGGUGCAUAAGACUUGCACCUUUUCGUUAUUUUUCUCUAGUAUAUAAAAGAUACAUGACCGACUUGUCACGUCCAACUUGUAGCCUAGACGGGCUACCAACACGACGCGACCCGGAUUCGUGCAAGCACGUCUGGUUUACCAUACAUAAGAUCUUUCCUAAACAUAAUCUAUCUAGGACACUCGACCUAUUACGCCUACAAUUAGAUUAACUAGGAAAGUGGUCCGCUCGAUGCGCGGGCAAUGCCUUUUAAUCCUCUAUCAUAUUUUACCAUUAAACUUUUUAUCUACUGUGAGAUUACAAAUAUUCUAGAAUCCAUUUGAAUAUUUUAAUUACCAUUCAUUACUUUUGUAAUACAUAAAUAUUAGUAAUAAUAAAUCAAAACCUAAUUAAUAAGGAUUAAUGUAAAUUUAUCAUUUCACACCCAGAUGUAAUAAUAUUUUAUUAAAAUUUUUUGAAUGUACCAAUGAAAUAAAUAUUGGGGGUUAAUUUUGUUAGACCUUUGAAAGAGAUUAAAUAUCAUUGAUAUUGUCUUAUUAUUGUGUUUCGUGUAGUCUUGAAAUAUGAAGAAUUACAACUUUUACUUGGAUUCUAUUAUAUGUACACUUUAGAACAUAUGUCUCCUGCAAAUUCAUAGUCAAAAUUCAGUAUUACAUUCACAAAGAAAAAACCCAGUACAACUCAUGUGAACUACAAUAUAUCGAAGAAUAUGAUUCUUUUUUUUCGUCAAUUACCAUGAUGGAGGUGAUUCAGUGCAAGUAGUUAUAAUGAGGUCUUUGGUGCUCAACUACAUACAAAUUUAUGUCUCAUAUAUUCGUAAAUAUGAUAAUUAAAUAGUGAACUUGCAUUGUAUUGCGGAACUAUUAUAUGUUGUAUAAUAGAACAUGCCGACAUUGUGUGAGAAAACCGAUGAUGGUGCAGAUACAUAGUUUGUUUUCAUGACAACAUUUUGAUUGAUAGAGAAAAGGAUGUGUUGCAUGGACUUCUCUAGCUGAUUGGAUACUUUGGAUGUCCCCAUCGGUCGUUGCUGCCAGCCAUUCUACCAUGUUGCCAUGAAUUUUGGUGAAGGGUGAGAUUAGCAAGAUAGUAAAAAUCAAGUGGCAUGAGAAUGUAACUACUUGAGACUGGAAUUAUAUCAUUCCAGGGUGAAAUCUCCGGAGAUGGCUACAACUUGUCCUUGCCGGCAUAGGUGUAGAUGCUCCUGUUACUGUUCCUGUGAUGUCUUCUUCGACAUCCAUGUGUACGUACACCUGGUUCUCCAACCACUGUUUUGAACGGCUCACGUUCACAGGGAAGCUCCAUCAUCUGUUUGCUCCAUAAAUCUAUAUUACUCUGAUCUUCCCUAGGUUUUAUUUUUUUCUUUGUUUAGGAUACGCUCAUAGUAAUGUGGAUAACCAAGUUGUCUUCUACCCGAAUGAUAUGUUUAUAGAUAGAUAGACCUGCUAAUAGCUACAUGGUAAUAGAUAAUAUACCUAGGUUUGUAAGAGAAAUCGAUUUUCUUUCCCAGAAUUAUCUGUUCUGGUCAAUUUUGAGUGGACCAUUUAGAACUGGUGAAUUUUGAGCUUUUGAUUUCUUCGAUUUCCUCUUUUCAUUAGCAUGUUAGGGAAAAUUUGGCCCAAGUAUCUGCAUAUUUAACAAAACAUUAUUUAAGCACAAUUCCUUUUCAUAUGAUUUAAUUCAUACGUGCAUGGUUAUAUGGUUCUUUCGGAUUACAAUAUGCACAUAGCUAUGAUAUAUAUCGAGGAUUAAUCUAACUCAACGUACAUGCACACAGAAGGCGUCAAGCUCACCAGUUCCUUCAAUGCAAAGCUAGCCAUGCUAGCUGAUUGAUUUGGCCCAGGCUCAACACGCACGUAUACACACAUGAAGCAAAGAAAUGGAUUUCCCUCUUACAUAACAUAACCAAGCUAAUGAUUGAUUUUCUCCCCGCCGGCCGGAAAGACAAUGCAACACAUGUACAUGUACGUAUGCACCUGAUGGAUGUAUGUAUGCAAAAAUCUAAAUGGAUGAUUUUUUUUUCUAACCUGGACACGUGAUUUUCAUUAGCUAGAUAGACAGGUGUUUUUUUUUUUGACAUGGACACGUGAUUUUCUUUAGCUAGAUGGAUGGGUGUUUCUUUUUACCUGGAUAUAUAAGGACUGGUGCAUUUUUUACCUGGACACGUGAUUUCUUUCGCUAGAGGACGGGCGUUUUUUUUACGUGGACACUUGAUUUUCUUUUUACAUGGACACGUGAGGGCGAUUUUUUUAUGUGGACAUUUGAUUUUUUUUUACGUGGACACUUGAUUCUUUUAGCACAUAUGUACUUUUUACAAUCAUAGCAAAAGAGCCCGUGCGUUGCAACGGGAGAAUGCAAGGCCUGAGAAUCAGGCUCUCGAAGGCAUAGAUAUUCUAAUUGUGCAAUAUUAUCAAACAUGCCAAAUAUGUACCUUUAGGAUCCUCGUACACGUCAGAUUGCAUUGCCGAUUUUUGUUAACGUUUAACUCACUUUUCUUCUUCUUAUUCCACCCAUUAUCUCUGUCCCCCAAUUCAAGAUUGUCGCUAUAAGCAAUGGCACAUCCGACAUGCAAUACCGACGGGUAUUGAGGAGGAAAUAUAGAAAAUAUAUAAAAAAGAGCAUUCUAAGGGCGAUUGGAGUCGAGAAAGUCGAUAAAAUCCUGGAGAUAAAAUGUUACUUAUGGUAUAAAAAGAGUCAUUUUGCUUCCGCUCGUUUGAUUUUCAAAGACGUUUCGCCGUUCAUCAUCAUGGUGGUGACAUAACUCGACUCUGGUGCUUUUGCACCGGAAGAACAACCUGUUGGUCAGCGAGGGUUGCAGAUGAGUAUGGUCUCCUGUUUCCGGGAGUGGCGAGAUAAUAAAUCUCAUACCUGUGUAUGAUGAAGCUGGUGUGUGACCCGUCUUUGUCGAGAACUCGAGAUAGAAGGUGAGGUUGUGUAGCUUUGUACAUAAUGUACACCUUACCGUUGCCGUCAUCAGGGCCUAGAUGCCGCCCCCAUAGGCCUUGCCUUGUACCGCCUCUGACAAUGCAAUUUGUGGACGCUGCUUUCAAGUCCGUUCUCUUGCAGACUCUCACCACCAUCGCUCGCUCGCAGAGGUCAGCGACAUGUCCCUGACAUGGAAAAGCAUUACUACUUUAUAAAUAGGUAGUUCUGAGUCAAUGGAAGAAAAAAGUUCCGAGUCAAUGGAAGAAAAGCAUUACUACAACAACGUUUGCCCGGCUCCGGCGAGGGAGGGGCGAUGACAGCGGCGCGCUUUCGGCUCGCUUUUCAGUGCUUGUAGUCGUCGCUAGGUGGUCCACGGGUCUAGAUAUAAUUUUUAUUACUUCUAGUGUUCGUUGUAUCAUGGUUGAUGAUGUAUGCAUCCAAUAAGCUAUUACUUUGAGAAGAGUGUAGAAUAGCGCUGCACCUUCUUGUUGGCCCAGCGCACAAAUCUCUUAGUCGGUUCAUCUGCAAAGCACCAGCCCGCCAUGGAUCCAGCAUGUCAACUUCCAAAAGUCUGGCGUCAUCCUGUUUGUCUUUCUUACCGUUGGCUUGCCUCGUACAGUUUUCCUUUUGUAGAUAAAUCACACCUAAAUCCGUCAAAGCUAGCUUCUUCUAGAAAACAAAUAAGUCCCAAAAAAUACAGAGCAUCAGCUCAUGUGGUAGAGAUGAAUUGGUCUGGUGCCACCAACGAAACACAGAAGCAACACAUCGCUAGAGAAACCGAGAGAGGGGAGCAUGCAUGGAAGUACGACAAAAUUUAAUCACCCGGGUUCACCUAAAUUACCUCGAAAGUAUGAAUCAGUACAGUCCUAAGCGGAACUGGUGCAUGUAUCCAUACGAAAAAAAAAAACACAUCUAUAUUGAGCAGCUUCAUGGAUAAUCAAAGACGUAGAUGGCUACGCCUCAAGUAUAUCAAUCUCACAAAAUCCAUAACAAAUUUCCCAACUCUGUACUCGAUCCAAAGAACCCGCACACUAUCUAUAGGAGUUGGCGCGCGCGAAUCUAUUUUUGCUGUCGGAGGAGGAAAUCCGGCGGCAGCGGUCACGGCGACCGUGACGGCCACCAUGGUCUCCGUGCUUUGCUCUGCAGGACUCCAUUGGUGCAUGUUGCUCCCUGGCAUGGAUUCCCCCAUUGGCCACAAGAAAGAGGGAUCAAGGCUGCCUUGGCUUGCCGCUUGCUCCGGGCAUGGCCUGGUGAAGCGAGAUGGGUAGAUGUUCAGGAGGAGGCGACGGAGGAUGCAGAGGACCACGUCGUCGGAAUCACGGGAAUAGCUGGAGUGUAGCAGACUGCAACCACCCGUACGCCAUGUACAUCAGGGGGCGGCGGUGGCGGCGAGAAGCCCUGAGCCUCGUAACCAAGCCGGCCGGCUCGUGUCCUGUGAGAUCCGGACUGCGUCACGUCGCCGCUGCUUCCUUUUUUUCUAUUUGUCACGCCGCCGCUGCUUCCGUCCAAUGGUUCGUGUGAAACCCAGAAGCGACACGUGCGUGUCUGGCCGUAUAUUUACAUAUGAGCAUAGAAAAUUUACGGAAUCCUGAGUCGUAACCUUUUCAGUCACGGUGUAGUCGAUCGCUGGUUUUCCAAGUAACUUCCGGUUUUGCACGACGGAGGAGCGAGAAACGACAUACAACAACGGACGGGUAGAUGCACGAAAAACUAUAGAUACUACAUGAAUCACAUGAAUAGUACCACAUCGGAUGUAGAAAAUAAUAUAGGUGAAAAAACUAAAAGCGUAAACUCGCGGGAAGAAGCGUAUUGUGACGGUGAACCCACGGAGUCAAUUCAUGCUUUAUUAUUACUAGCACAAAUGCCCGUGCGUUGCAACGGGAGUGUGGAAAAAAAUAUAGCGAUGCAAUAUGGUUUGUGUGAAACGACGGGUGAGAAAAAAGGUGGAAGAAGAGGAUUCGGAGGCACGCUACUCUAAACUUGUAAGGAUGACUAACAAAAUGAUAAAAAACGGCACAAAACUUUUACUUAGGAACGGCAUUCUGAUGACCUCAUCAGGUGAUGCCAGAGUUGGUAAGUUCUGGUUUACGUCCAUAAUGGCACAUAUCUUGAUUUGUGGCCAACGAAACAAUUGGAUAAGGGACAAUGUCUAGAUUUUUGACGGUAUCUGGAUUAGUAUAUUGGUGUGAGUAACUGGUAAAUUUCUCAUCGUUGAAAUCUUCUUUCAUUGAAUGGAUUCUAAUCAUUACAGGUACUUUGGUAUAUGAGCAGAUACCAUAGACCAACAUAUGCAUAUCACAUUCGUUGUCAAGAGAAAAUACGUGAAAAGGCACUAUUUAUUAAUCUCACACAUGAUGGAUCAAGAAACAAAUUAACACAGGUUAUUCGGCAGCUCCAAUUAAGGGUUCGUAAAGAAACAUCAUUCAGGAAUUUGGGGCCCAUUUGUGGCAAGGAAAAAAAUCUCCUUUGAUCUUGGCCAUCACACAAUAGACUUACCACUCAACCGUGCGAACACAAAGGAAUAUUUAUAAAUUUUAAAACUAAUCUAGUCGAGCUGGACCUAAGGGCCGCCCUACACGAGCUAUAUCAUGCACCUAUUUCAUACACCGUCCCUCAUAAUCCAACUCGCUUUUAAUUUAUUUUUCAAAAUGCAUGAACAUUCUUUUUAAAACACAAACAUUUUCUUGAAUCACAUAACCUUUUUUAAAUUGCAAACAUCUUUUAACAUGCAAACACUUUUAGAAUUACAUGAACACAUUUUUAAAAAGGUUUUUUUAAUGUCAACAAUAUUUCAACACAUAAACUCUUUUUCGGAAAAAAACAAUACAAAGAUUUUAAAAUGCAAGUGCACUUUUUGAAAAAUCGCAUUUUUUUCAGAAAGCACGAACACAUUUUGAAUUGCACAACCAGUUUUAAAAGCAUGCAGACACUUUAAAAUUAUAUAAGCAGAUUUCAGAAGAAAAAAAAUACGAACCACCAAUUCUGUAUCAUGCACGUACAUGUAUGGCACACGACAGCCCAAACAAUAAAGAAAGUCACGGGCUCUUCCCCACCGCGGCGCCCUUCUGCGCCCCUCUCUCCUUUUUCCCUUUUCUUCCUCCCGUUUCACAUCUCUUUCUGAGACCCACCCCACAAAGAAACCGGCCAUGGCCGCCCCAAGUUUAUGCCAACCUCUGCCAGGAUCCAUCCAUCUUCCUUCUUUUGAGAUUUCAAAUCAGGAUCAGCUUCUUCGUCAAUAUUAAUUUCUUUGCCCACCCUUUCCUAUUGAUCCCAACUGGUUUAUUGAUUUCAACUUGCAGCAGUAUUUAAAUUGGUUUAUUUUAGUGUAAGGUAGCGAGGUGGGAUUAUGUAGCAGAUGAUCAAAUCCUCUCUUUUGAUCCUCUCUUUUGCACACGAUCAUUGGUUGGCUCUGUUGGGACGCCCACUUCCGCCGGCGUGUUCUAUCAUUUGCCCAAUUCGUUUGAUAGGCUAAGGCCCAUGCAAGCUGGUCGAGGCAUGUCGGGCUUCAUCGGGACAGCGAGCGAUGAUUUUUUCUAGCGACGUAUUAACGAAUCGUUUUUUUUUUCACCUAUAAGGAUGGCAGUGCUGGAUAAUUAAUUGUCACUUUAUUAAAGGAAAGCGACGGUGAACCCGACGGAAGCAAUGCGUGCUUUAUUAGUAGGUAAAGACUAGUACAAAUGCCCGUGCGUUGCACCGGGCGAUAAAAAUGGUAGAACUUGCUUGAUGGGUCAUUUUUCGCCAUUUUUAAUAUCUAAUUCUAAUAAAUGUUGAACAUGGAAAUUUCUUUUUUUAAUAAACUUUAAUAUUUCAUUAAAAUGUAAACUCUAUAAAAUAUAUUUUUUGAAAAGAAUGUAUUUUUGUAGUAAAGAAGUGGUUUUUUUGGGCGAAUUUUUAAGUGUUUUUAAAAAUUACGAACAUAUUUUUUUGAAAUAUUUUUAAACUGUUUUUUGUGUUAACUUUUUGGGCAUUUUUGUUUGGUAAUUUUUACAGAUAGUUGGUAGCUUGGUUGGGAAAUUUAUUUAUUUACUAUUUGGGCUUGGCCCAAACAAAAUAGUUAAGGUGCAUGGAAGGACCCACGAACUUAUCUUCGUACCGCUGUGACCCCUAAAAGAAGAUCUUCUUACUGUUGGGCCGUGAGGGCCCAACAAUGUGUAAUUGACCCUUUCUUUUGCUACAUAUCUAAAACUACCAUCAGGGAUGCAAUUAAACUAAUUGAUAGUUGAAGAAAGAGCAGAAUAUAUGAAACUUCAAGAAUUAUUCCAGCAUCAUGUCCAAGAAUAAUAACCAAGUUCAAGCCACCAUGUUCAGGUAUAUAUGUAGUCAUCAACAUGAAAUUCUUUGGUUCAAUCCAAAUGCCAUGUGUACAUGAGCUAAAUAUACUUAUACUGGUCUAGCACAGAAAGAAGUACAUGAUCGGCAAUGGCAAAACCUGAUACAGUAUAGACUUGUAUACCAAGGGAAACUGGAACAAAAUGGUUUACAAAAUGUACAAGUUUUACUCUCCAGACUAUGCAGGCUAUAAAAACAGAACACACUCAGGUGCCGGUUCUUCAAAAUACAAAGUCGUAGUUGCAUUUGUUCAGAACAAAGUAUGAAGCAUUCAUAGCUUAGCCGCCUUCUGCUUCAGUUAAAUAAUACGUGCUAGCUUGCUUAUGGAUGUGCCCAGAAAAUUCAGAGUGAACAACUCUGAACCUGACUCUGGCUAAAAGAACAAAAUCAUUGGCUUGAUUUAACUUAUUAUGUGUUCUGCAUUAUGGACACUGUGACAUCAGUAGCAACUUAGUGACAUGUUUCAAUUGGUAAAUAUAAGAAACUUAGUGACGACGCGUGUUAUUUGAGGAUGACAAUUGUUCUCUCCCAUACCCUUAAUCAACUCAUACACUCUGAUAUGUAAAUUCAGGCCAUAUACAUUCAGCUUCUACUACAAAAAGUUUGAACCUAGAAAACCUAGCAAGUACUAUUACUUUUCAAGGACCAAAAACUUGAAAGAGGAAUAACAUAGAAGAAACGAAGAACAAACCUCUAGUGGAAGCAUUACAUGCAUUUGUGAGUCCAAGCAUAAUAUCUGCAAGAAAUUAAGAAAAUACAACAUGCCUCCAAAAUUCAGAGAUCUCAUGACAGGUGGACUGAUGCCCAAUAUAUCUUUAGAUAAAGAGGGGAGUGAGAUAAAGAAUGUGCAUGUUUCCCUAGGUAGUCUGAUGAUCCGAAGCAAAUUAUCCACAAGGAAUAGAAAAAAAAUCAGUAGAACAUCCAACGACCAAAUGGGCAAACAAUAAUAUAACCUUGAAAAGGAAUACCAACAUCAGUAAAUUUUACCACGAAACAAUGGCAGUUCUCUGGCACUUCUUUCCUUGUACCCAAAAUAAUUCCAAAAAUAACAUACAACAAAUUACAAAAAUUCCAGAGAAGGUAAUCUGAUGUACUUUAGUCGUCGUAUAGUGCUUCUACUUAGCCUAAUAGGGGUAGCGCCACUAAAAAAACCAACAAAUCAAAUCAAUCUUGCAAGCUUUUUCUUCACUGUAACUAUUCCGCAAGACUGCUCAAAUAUAAGCUAUUUAGAGGAGCACAACUAUAGUACUGUGCGAUAUUUAGAAAUCA